CCACCAUCAAACACUAUGCAAAAUGUCUUCACACACACGAACUAAACGCUCGCGCAUUUAACACACAAACAAAACACACACGGAUACAACUUGAUAGAAUUACAAAACACCAGCCUAUUAACAAACUACCAAGAACACCAACUACCAGAUCUAGAUCUAGAGUCAAGAUCUAUUAACAUUCAAUUCCAGAACCUAAAACAAUUAACCCCCAAAAUCCAUAAAGAGCUCUGCCCUGUCUCUUGAGAGCGUAAACGACAUCCAUCGCAGUCACGGUCUUUCCACUGAACGCGGGUUGCUGCCACUGAUCGCGCUGCCAGAAGCUGCUGGUACUGCUUGCGAUCGAAACUGCCGCUGGUGCAUCCUCAAAUCGAAAACCACCGCUGCAGGUGCUGCUGCUCGUUGCCGCUGUAAGCUGCUGCUCGUCAAUUCGGUAAUCCUCUGUGGUGAUCAGAAGUCGUCUUUGUAUCCAGGGUUUUAUACGAUGAUGAUGGUGGUCAUAUUUGUUUUUGCUUUCGUUUUUCGCUUUUAGUUUGUAAGAUUAGUAAAAAAAAUGAUAGCAAAGAAAUGUAUUGAUGAUGAAAGUAGAUUAUUAAUUUGUUUUUAGUUUUAUCCGGUCGAAUGUUGUAAUGCCUCGGAAGGUGAGAGUUUGAUUCUGAGAUUGAAUAAAAGUAACCGUACAGACAAACUGUCCAGCGUAGUUUGACUGAGAACUUCAAAUUAGUGGAUAACAAAAUAUCUAGAAUAUUUGCAUGUUGACAGCAAAGAAACUGUCCUAUUUUAUUUUAUUUAUUUGUAAAAUGAAAUAAAGUAUGGUUAAAUCUUUAGGUACCAAUAAUGUAUUCAUUUUGGAGAGAAAUUUUAUGGUAAGAUAAUUGAUUUUAAUAUAUGGAUUUAUAUUUUAUAAAUUAAACUGUGGUAUUUGAAAAAUAAAUUUAAAAGGAUGUUGGAAGAAUUUUAAAGAAGUGUUAAAAGUUCCACCCUUAAUUCAAAGAGUUAGUAUGCAAAAGUGAAAAUAUAAGAAACACUCAUUGACACCGUUAGGCCUUUGGCCUGAUGGUAAAGAAUCUAUUGAGGGCACUUGUUUAAGUAAAAACAUAAGGAUUAAUAGUAUUUGACCCCCUUGAUUUAUUUCAAUAACACCCACUAUUCAAUUAUCUUUAUGUAUUUUCAAAAGUACCCUUAUUCAUCUGUUUGGAAUAAGUGCAAAAUGUUACAUAGAACGCUCUAGUCAGCUACCAUAUGCUUUGAGUACUUUAUUUUUUACGGAGAGCGGAUGCAUGGAUCGUCUCACUCUUGUGUCCCAAUACUACUCUUACUAGGCGAAUCAAGUGCCAUUGCAUCAUCAUCGACCAGAAUUUUUAACAUCAUCUUCAUCAACGAUUUUUUUUAUUUUUUAUUAACAAUCUAAUUUCUUCUUAAACUUUCUUCAUUACUCUAGAGUUCUUAAAAAUUUAAAUUAUUUUGGUGGGUAGUUUAGACAUUUCAAUUUAAAAUAGAAAAAGUGGGGAUUAUUGAGUUAAAAUGAAUGAGUCAAAUUCACUACUCAAUCACACUAAAAAAAAAGGGCCGAUCUUCGAGAAUUUAAAUUAUUUUGGUGCAACAGCCAACAAUACCCUAUCGGUCAUUCGGUCUGUCUUCAACUCCAACAACAACCCUUUCUGUAGAACUUAGUUUUCACGCUUAUCUUCGAGAAGCUCCUUACUUCGUAUAAUCACACAGAGAUGGAAACUACAGUAACACUAUUUUUAAAAUUAUAUUUUUGCCUAAAACUUUUAGUAAUUUGACUAUGGCCUAAAAUGUUAUAAAACUUUACAAAUAGAUCCAACUUCAGAAUUUCUAAAAAUUUCCUGGAAUUAUGCUACGGCACAAAACUUUAAAAUAUUUUUCAAAAAAUUCUUUUUCAUAAUUUUACCAUAAUGCUUAUUGAUUUCAAAGUUCUCAAAACUUUUUCAAUUUAAUCCAAAUUCCUCAAAUCCACAAAAUAUUUUAUCUUAUAAAUAUAAAACAUUUUGGUUUAUGAAAAGUAAUGAUUUAUUAAAUAAAAGCUUGAGCUUCUCAAAUUCUAAACCAUGCAUAUAAUAAAUCAUACUGGCUUUACAAGAAUUUGUCGCAAUAAUGACUCCGUUGGGCUAAACUUUGUUCUUGAUCACGCCAUUGUCCGUUGAGUGUCUUAAGCUUAAUUUCACGCGAUUCACUUACAUAAAUAUUAUCCUUCAAGAACUAAUGAAAAUAUGAAAUACAAUAUUUAUCAUAUUACUUAAGACAUAUGUUUGUUAUCUUCAAAAUUACAAAAUAUAUAGCCCUUUAGGCUAAUAAGAUGGUGUUGAUAGAUUACUUAGAUUAUUUUGUGACAAUAAGCCCACAGUGCUGUAUUCUAAUAACAAUAGGAGCUUGACGAAGUCGAAGUAUAUAGACAUCAAGUUCCUAGUUGUUAAAGAAAGAGUUCAGAGUAGACAGUUGUUUAUAGAGCACGUCAGUACAAACUCCAUGAUUGCGGAUCCACUUAUUAAGGGAUUACUACCCAAAAUGUUUACCACCCAAACUUUCGAUGCAUUCUCUUAAUUCUCAAUUUCUCGGUCGAAGGUAGUACCAAUACUAGGUCGCUCUUUUGAUUUUGAUUUCUCGAAUCCAGAGAUUCAUGAAUCGGGAUCCUAAUGCAUAUAGAUACAAAUGGUCCAAUGGUUAAAAUGUUUCAUGAGCAUGUUGCUCGUAUGAGUGUCGCGUUAUUAAAGGAUAUUCAGUUUUAGUGAGAGUUUGUGAUUUUAGAUGCUCUUGUAAUAUAGACAUUUUUUCAGUUAUUUCAAUUUUUGGAUAUUUCAGCUUGUUUUCUGUAGAAAUAAAGUUUUGGUUUACUCACACUUUGAUUUUAGUAUGGUUUGAUCCACUAAGUUUUAAGAUGGACCAGUUGGAAAUAGACAUGUUAAGAUCACAUUACAUGAAAUUUCUAUACUACACAUUCACAUUAUGAUUCAUGUCAUUCAGUUUUGUAUUGACAUAGUGACCAUUGAUGGGUCAAGUUAUGAUAAUUAUAAAAAAGGCCGCUUUGAUCCGAUGUUGAUAUGAUUGAUGGAUCAAAUUGGCUGUAGAUACAUUUCAGUAAUGACAGUAAGGUUGUGCUCAUACAGUUAUUUUUGCAGAACAUAAUUAUAAGGUUACACAUAUAGCCCAAGUGGGAGAUUAUUAGAUUUUUUAAUCCAAUAUUGUUGGAUCCUUAAUUCAACGUUGAGCUUAUAUGUAAAUAAUUAUGUGUUACAAACUAUCAUAUAAGGUUAAACCCAAUUAAAGGUGAAAAUCUAUUAAGGUUUUCGGUAUAAUGAGCUUUAAUGUAUCUAACAGGGUGUGAGCCUUUAAUAUUUAGAGAUCUAAUGGUAUUCUAAUUCUAUGAUAGACAAAAUUAAGAAUACAUAAUGACAAAAGAAAAAAAUUAUCUAUAUAAGUGGUUAUGGUCCCCAGGUCACAUGUAUUUUUCCAUUCUUUCUUAUAUCCCACCAUCAGAGAGAGAGUUCGCAGAGAGAAUUAAAAAACUCUUUAGGAGAACGUAUUGAUCUGAAAGGUCAACCACGCAUUCUUAGAGAAUAAUUAAGCAUUAUAGAUUUAGGUACGCUUUCACAUAAUUUUAUUAUUAAUUUUUGAUAAUACAACAUGAAUAAAUUAUCCAAGUUCCACUAAUAAUCUUCAAAGUCGGCUCACCCGAAAGGGCCACCACUGUUGCUUGCUUUUUUUGCUUUUCCAGAGGGACGGCUAGCUGGUUAGAGAUGAAAUUCGAUGGAAGGUUAUUAAAAACGGAUCCAAAAACGGCCACUUGAUGAUACGGGUCAAAGGCUCAGAAUCAGGUGAUGUGGCACCUUCAGAACCGUCAACUUGGAGUAAAAUCAGUGGCCAAAAUAGACUGAUCAAUCGCGUUAAAAACAUAGGCGGGUCAAGCGGCCCGUUCUUCAGAGAUCGCAAUUUCGAGCGGCCAGGUCUACGUUAGGUCGCAUACAACAGUCAAUCAACCUUUGGUCAACAUGAAAGUCAACGAGGAUGCCCCAUGUCUCUGCGGAGUGCAUUACAUGAGAAUGCAAUCUACCUCCAAAAAUCCAUUUUCAAUCCUAUCUCUAACUUAACUUAGUCCUGGUUGUUAACUAUUUUAAUAUUUUCGACCCUCCGAACCCAAAAAUAAGACCCUUUCCCUCAUUUAAAAAUUCAAAAAUACUAAAGCAAUGAUUUUAUCCCUCAACCCAUUAUUGAAGGUUUGUAACAAACCUUAAUACAUAUUACACAUUUCAAACUUUGUAAGUGGGCAGUCUGACUAACAUGAGACUACAUUAUUUCAUGCUAAGUAGCUCCAUAAGCCAGCAUAAUGGUGUACAAUGCACACAUAAUACAGCAGCUGCCGUGUUGACCCCAGAGGGACCCUGAGUUUGCUUAGCAUUAGCAUUUUUUUUUUAAUUUCCUAUUAAAUAAAAAAAACCCAGAAAUGCUUCCUGCUCUGAUACCAAGUUAAAAGUCUAAAGGAAUAAAAACUACCAGAAGAAUUGCACUGGGAGAAUGGUUUAUCAUUGCUGUGUAACUUCUUGGUAUAGAGUUUUGCUAUUUAUAUGCAGGGCAAGAUACAUCACAUGGUAAGAAUCACUACUUAAUUGUGCAAUGAUUUCAUGAGAUUAUUCCUUUCAUUUUCACAAUCUUAUUGAUCUCUUUCCUUCCAUACAGAUUCUUGCUUUGUAUUCAGGAUUACUGCUUGACAGAUUUUACACGAUUAUGUGGCAUCUGAUUCGGACUCUCUUUUCUAACUCCUAAGAUAAGGACUGAUCAUCUUCCAUUUACUUUUUAAUAUGUAGGAAGGAAUCGAGGUAAAGAAUUUUGAUACUUGGCUUGUCCAAAGAUUUAAGAUUCUAAUUAGUGUGAAAAAUACUACACUUCUCCACACACACAUGCAUAAACUACUACAUACCCUUACCUAAUAGAUCAACUUAGCCAACAUGGAUUCUACUAUUUCCAUUGAGUUUGAGGAAGCUCCAUCAUUGGGCAGCAAAGCCGCGAAUCAGUCACAAACGGAUCCAAAGUUGUUAAAGGCUGCAGCUGAUGGCAAUGCUGAACCCUUCAAAGAUAUGGCAAGAGAAGUAAUUGAGAGCUUGUUAACAUUACAGACUAGGAACACAAUCCUGCAUGUCAACAUCAUAUGUCAGGAAACAGAAAAUGCGUCAACCAAGUUCGUAGAAGAGAUACUUGAGAUAUGCCCAGCACUGCUAAUACAAGUUAAUGCCAAAGGCGAUACUCCGCUCCACGUUGCAGCAAAAUUCCGCCAUUCUGAUAUAGUGAGAGUUCUUAUUGGCAGAGCAAAACUAGCUCAACAUGGAGAUGAAGAGCCAGAGAGCAGGGUUGAAGCUGCAAGGCAGAUGAUUAGGAUGGUGAAUAAUAAGAAGAAUACAGCACUGCACGACGCAAUCUUUCCUGGCAACAUGGAGGUGGUGAAAAUACUGACGAGAGAAGACCCGGAUUAUCCAUAUUCAGCAAAUGAUUAUGGCAAAACACCGCUCUACAUGGCUGCUGAGUCUGAGUCUUCCGAUAUGGUGCUUACCUUGUUAGAAAACUGUACAUCAUUGUCCCAUGAAGGCCCCAACGGAAAGACGGCUUUACAUGCUGCAGCUAUGUACUUUGAAUUCAGUAAGUUUAAUUAAUAGUGGGAAUUUGAUUCUUGAUAUCUUUUCUUGUAAGUUUGUUCAUGCUUUUUUAUCACUCUUGGAGUGUUGUUUUAAUUAAGUUUGUAGUUGGCCCUGAGGCCUGGCAGAAUGAUUUUCAUGUAAUUAUAUUUAGCUGGCUAUCGGAGUUCAAAUCCUCCGAGGUGGUGGUUAAAAAUUCAAUUCGAAUUCUAAUUUUAUUUAUCUUUUGUCUCUGUAUUCUCAGAAGGAGAUCAUCAUGCGAUGCGACAAUUAUUUGGAAGAAAGAAGAGUCUGCUUAAAGUAACAGAUCAAUAUGGGUGGACUCCGAUUCAUUACGCUGCAUAUCAUGGGAAGUACUGGAUAAAUGAUUUAUUAGAAAUUGAUCAAACUGCUACAAACAUUGCUGACAAAGAUCGAAAGAUGACAGCUCUUCAUUUAGCAGCGGGCCGAGGACAUGCCCGAACAGUUGAAACAAUUCUUUCUCUUGCUCCAGAAUGUUUUGAACUGGUCGAUAACAGGAGAUGGAAUUUUCUUCAUUAUGCUGUGGCCAGUUUUCAAUUGCAAGAUUUAAAACCUCUUCUAAGAAACCCGUUUGCGAGGAUCCUUAUAAAUGAGGGAGAUGCCAAGGGGAACACUCCUCUCCAUGUGCUUGCUGCCGUCCGUCCGAGUGAAUUCAAUCGCUAUAUGAGUAGGACGACUCAUGCCAACUAUCAAGCUGUCAACGACCAAAAUGUUAGUGUUGGACACAUUAUGAAAUAUGGCUAUCCUGAGCUCCGGGUAAUUAAUUUGUCAAUUCUUUCAACUUAUAAAUCCAGCUUUUUCAUUACUUGUUUUUUUACGCUGUUAAUUAAUAUUCAAGUUCAAAUUACAGGAGGAAAUCAGAGAGUUAUCCACAGAUGUUGGCAGAGGACAAUAUCCUCAUGGUGCCAUAUCCAGAGUAGCAAAAAUAUGUUUGUAAGACCAGAUCCAAAUGCAGUGGCGUGUGGUGUGGGGACUAGACCGGGCUAGACCAAAAAAUUACUCAAUAUCCCUUAAAUUUUAUGUUACUUUCAUUUUUAGUUUUUUUUUUUCUCAAGUUUGUCCUGAAAUCAAUCUUUAUUAAAAUAACUAAAAUAGUAUUUAUAAUUAAGUUAUUCUAAUGUUGGAACCUUUAAAAUUCAAUAUCAAAUAGUAAUUUAUUUUUUUAAUUACUUCCUUUAGAGCAAGUUCAUUGAUGUUGCAGUACCUUUUGAAUAUUUUUUUUGCUAUGUUCACGCAUAACAUAUUCAAUAAAUUCAUAAAUUCCUUAUUUAACCCUGCCUAAUUAAAAUUUCUGGGUCCACCCCUGUCAAGAUGAUUUGCAAAUGAAUUAUCUUGAUGAUCCUAAAAAUGACUAUAAGGAUGUGAGAUCGCCAGAUGUUUUGGUAUAGGGAAAAUUACCCUUUAGGACAAUGAUUUGCACAUGCCUUGAGGAAUUUUCUCUGAGUCGGUAUUUGUUGGUCGGAUGAUAAAUUCAUAGUUGCAGGAAGCAACUAUUUGGUUCCCGGUUGCAACCACAAGGUUAUGAUUGCAACCUUCGUUGUUAAAUAACAAAGAAUACUGUUGUCAGUCUACUGUUUAUCACCGUUCAGUUUGUCGAUGGGUGUUGUUGUUCUGGCUGAUCUGGUCUUUCAAAAAAGUUAUUUUGUCUCAUAUUUCCAACAUAAAUAGCCCAACAAAUUUGUGCCAUUCUGUAUAUUUAUUAAUAUGAAAACGAUUCAUAAUUGUUUGACUUGUCUUUAUGUUUGAUCAAUGGAUAUGUUCCAAAAAUUACUUGAGAAAAAGAAGAUUUAACAUUUUUUUCUGGGCAAGCCGGCUGCUUCUCGAAAAAUUACUGACACUGAUAUCUGAGGUUUCUCGGAAGGCUCUUCUCCUUUCGUUUAUAUUGGAGUUCCAAUUUUCAAGGGUUGUACAAUAUUUUGUUUCUUGCCGGGCGAGUUGAGCAAGUUAAUACCGUUGACCCUAGCGGUUGACCUAAUAAUUAUUUUUUUUUUCCCUGUGACAACACUACAUCGUCUUGCCUUUGCUUUUCUCCGGGAUCUGUCACCCCAUGGUUGAUUUAACAUUUCUCUUAUCAAUUAAAAGAGUAAAUAAAACAUUAAAAAAAAAGUAGUUGUUAAAUUUCAUAAUUUUGUAACAUACAUCAAUCAAAUAGUUGUUAUUAAUAUAAAAAAUAAAAAUAAAAAUUAUAUGUGUAAAAAAAAUUCAGCUCAGGAAAAAGUCAACAGAUAGAUGCAUAAGAAUUCUAUUCUUCUCCGCAUUAACAAGUAGCAUUCAUAUACGACCCUUCAAUAAUGAAGUUACUGUUUUCAAGCCAUUGUUCAUCAUUAUUGUGUUUGCUAAUUGGUAUCAUUGUUCAGACUGAUUUAGGCUUUCAAUGAAACUAUAUUGAAUUAUAUUCCCAGCAAAUGGAUCCUGAUCUCAAAGCCGCAGUUAUGGCAAUAUAAUACUGAACCUUUCAAGGAUAUGGGAAGAGAUGUAACUUUGAACUCGGGCAUCAGAGGACUUGAGACUGAUUGUGUAAAUAUAUUUUGUACAAACGGAACAAUUGUGACACUUUGAGGUUGUCGGAUAGGAACUGCAUAAUAAGAUUGUCCCAUUGGAACCAUUGUGAUGCUCGCGUAAAUCAAUUAAAGGUUCCAAGAGGAAUAAAGAACACGUAUCAAAAUAAGGUAAAAUAAAAAGUAUAAAAGUCUAUAGUUAUUACAUGAAUGACACAUCCGGCAUUAAGCCAAGUUACCCAACAAAACUUUCAAAGAUUAAUGGAAAUACUCCAACAGCAAGACUUCCAGUAGUAAUACCCUCUUCCAGCGGCAAUACUCUAAUAGCCACGUACCCAGUAACUCUCCAACCCACUGUAAUUCCAGCCACAUACCCACCAUCUUCCAACACCAUUGCAAUUCCAGCCAUAUACCCAGCAACAUUCCAAACCAAACCCAGCAAACCAAUCUAUUCAAAAUCAAUCAAAAUACCCAAUGUUAUCGAAUGCAUAACAUGCACACUACAACCGUUAACAGAAACUACUAUAAUUUGACACUGCAACUUUAAUUUCAACAAAUUGCAACAUAAAAUUUUUUAAAAUCAAAGACCUAGUUACAAAAUGUACUUCAUGCAUUCGGUCAGCCAACGAAAGUAAUAAACUAGGAAAAGAAUAAAAAUCUAUUUAGUAGCAUAGUCCCUAUAAUCCACAAAAACAUAGAAAUGUUGAACCUACAACAUAGAUUUCCAAAUAGAAAAGCAGACUAUAUAUAAAUCGAACCUUGAGGAUAGAUGGGCAUAAGCAGGAGCUGGAAAUAAUAAAUAAGAACUAAAAAGCUCAAUAUAUACCAGUGUAAUGUGUUCCAAAAUUCCUUAAAAACACAGGAACAUUUCCACAACAGCAGCACAAAAAAUUGGGGGAAAAAAAGAAGACUAUCUGAACUUCAUGUGCCUGUGUAACAUAAAUAGAAAUGAGAGUGAGAUAAGAGACAAAAACACUCAAGUCCCUCAAGAUAAAUAGCCUUCACAUUCCUAUAAAAUUUGAAACACGCUGCCAUCACUGCAACAAAAUAUGGCAAAACAAAAAACAAAGUUAAAGACCCCCCCCCCCCCCCCAUUCAGCAGAGUCACUGUUAUUCCACAAAAGUAGAAACAUCUCACUAUCACUGCAACACAAAAUUUGCACAAAUGAUAACCAAAUUACAAGUUGAUUUUAUGUGUCUACACAGCUAGAAAGAGGAGUAAUAAACUAGAAGAUUUAAAAACUCAAUAGAUUAACCAAAUUACAAGUUGAUUUUACGUGCCUAAGAAAAGAAUAAAAAUCUAUUUAGUAGCAUAGUCCAAUAAUCCACAAAAAUAUGGAAAUGUUGUCCCUGAGGCAUAGAUUUCCAAAUAGAAAAGCAAAUUAUAAUUUGAACCUUUAAGAGCAAGAAAUAACAAAUAUGAACCAAAAAGCUCAUCGUGUUCCAAGAUUCCCCUAAAAACACAGGAACAUUUGCACAACUACAGCAUAAAAAAUUGGGGGAAGACUAAUAUACUAUCUGAACUUUAUGUGCUGGUCUAACAUAGAUAGAAACGAACAUGCCAAUCACUACAAUAAAAAUUUGAAAAAAUGAAAAACCAGAACAUAACCGCAACUUUAUAGAUUUCAUGUAUUCAAAGAUACAGGUGCAAACUAAGAAACAAUCUGAAAAACUCACCCAGAAGCCGAGUACUGCAAUCCCAAUACUCCUCAAGAACUCGGACCAUUUCUUUAACACAGUAGCAUAAAGCUUUACAACAGGGACAUGACCAACAUACACUCUGCUUUGGAAGGAUUUAAGUGGUUAACUAAGAAAAGGUAAAAAAUAACUCUUUAUAGACACCUUCCAGUAGGGUAGUUCCAUUACUCAUCAAAAACUAACCAUUUCUCUUACCCUGCAACAUAAAAAAUAUUUCUCUAAAGCAUUCAUAAUAGAAGAGAUAAACUAAAGAGUGGUAGGGGAAAAAAGAAACACAUUACAGAGACCCCAAAUAGCAGAGUCCGGAUACUCUACAUAAACUACGAACAUUCCAACAUCAUUGCAACAAACAUUUGCUAAAUAAUCGUUAUUGUUAAUACUAAUAUUAUUUUUAGAAGAGAUUAAUAAACCAUCUAAAUAUUUUCUUUCACUAAUAUGAUUAGAAUCUGCAGUAUUUAAUUAGAGAAAAUACCAAAUUACUUUUACGUGGUAUCAACCAAAAAAAGAAAAUGAGUGGUAAAAGCUACUUUCGGCUAACAAAAAGAACAUAGAUAAAAGAAUAUCCUAAACUAUUAAAGUGCCAAAAACUUGCUUAGGAUAUACUCAAAACGGAUCCAGACCAAUAAAACACUCACCAUAAUUACAAAUCCAAACCAUAAAUCUCAAACACUCGCCAAAAUAAGAUAAAAAUUAAAUAAAUUAAAUAAAAAAAUAAGAAUUAAAGAACAAAUAUUUAAAAUUGGCCAUUGGAAGCUUCCGUUGAGUUCAUUUAUACAAUCAAGUACAAGAUAAGAUACAAAUACAAAAGGGAAGUAAGAGAGAAAACCAUUUCAAAGACGAGCUCCCCCGUUAGGGUAAAGUACUCAAAAGAAGGAUAAAUUUAACCAAGUCAUCUAACCUGGCAGAAGAAGAAGAAGAGUGAUGAAUCAAGAAUCACAAAUGAAGACCUGGUGAGGCAGCCUUCAAGCUUCAGAUUUGUUGAAGCACAUGUCAUCAAGAGCUUCACUACGGUACCAUUUGCAUUUGGGGUUCUGCGAACACUCAGAUCUUGACCCCAUUUUGUUGCAGCGUGGGAUCCGGUUGCUGUUCCUAUGAACUGCCAAUAGGCUUCGAUACGAUGAAGAAGAGUCGGCGGCUGAUAAUGAUGAAAAUUGGUAAAGCGUUGAUAGCAAGACGACGAAGAUUAGCACCAUAAAUCUAUAGCUCGUUGCCAUGAGACCCAAGGCGAGUCGAUGCGCAAAAUGAGCACAAUUGGCCAUUGGAAGCUCACGCCGCUAGUCCGUGACAACUGCAACCAGCAUGAAACACGCUUUGUUGCCACUGUAUUGCUUCUUUUUGUGGUCAUCACAUACCGUCAGCCCAUACUGGAGCCUCACGUGCAACUAGUAGAGCCAUGAGCACCGCCACACUUCCGCUACACCAAGAAACACAACCCGAUUCGAACGCUUCCGCCAUGGUGGCUAUGGAUGUGAGCAUCUACCUAGGUCGAUUGAGAGUGGCUGUAAGGAGGCUAGGGUUUUAGGUGGUUUUAUGAGAGAAUCGUUUGGUGUGAGAAUGGGUGGGAACCUCAACACUUAGGAAAGCAAAUUGAGGGUUUCUUUUUAAUUUUAACUUUUUAUUUUUAUUUUAAUAGCUUUUUUAUUUUAUAAUAAAAAAUUUUAAAUAUUUAAUAUUUAUAAGCAAAACAUCAUCGUUACAACUUAAGUAAAACGACAAUGUUUCUUGAUUCAUAUAAUAUUUUAUUUCAAAUAAUACAAAAAAAUUCAAUCAAAGAAACGCUAAAAUCAAGUAAACAUUAAAAUUCUAUCAUGAAUUCUUGAUGUAAUAUAUUAUAUCACAAAGUCGUCACAUAUUAUUGACAUAAUUUAUUUCUAUCAUGAGUCCAUCAUGAAUACUUGAUAGAUACAAAAUUUAUCACGACUCUAUCAUACUUUUAUGACAUACGCCAUUUCCGUCACAAAAUGUUUGUCAUCUAUUGUCAGUUUUCUUGUAGUGCAGAGACUUUUUCAUAUGUCUAUUUAACUAUAUCCAAAAUUCAGAAUUUUCUCCUUAAUAAAUCUGAAGUUAUAAAAUUAUAACUGCUUGAAAGUUAAGAAUGACAGCAACUAGACAAAUUUUCUUCCAACUUCAUUCAAAUUCUAAGUCACUUAUUCAAUACUAAAAUCCAUGAGAAUUAAACUAACCAUAGUUUAACAUGUGAUUAACAAAUUUAAACUCAAAAUACAUCAAUCAUUGUUAAGUCCAUUAUUUAUAGAGUUGUUAUCUUAUGGCAAGUCUAAUUAAAUUAUAAUUUUAUUUAUUGCAUAUCUUGUAAUAAGGAUUAAAUUAUUAAUUUCUUAAUUUAGUGAAAUUCUAAUUUAUUAGGAAUAUUUGUUUCCUAAUUUAAUUAGAUGUCUAAUUUAGUAAGUCUAUUAAUGAUGAGAUUCUAUAAUUGGCGCUUAAGAUUUAUUUAGAGCAAGAAGUUAGUUCAAACAAGAAGUUUAUUAAAUGUUGUAGAUAUUUCUUGGGAGACAAGUAAGGCAAGAAAAUCAGAUUUAUUUUUAUUCUAGUUCAUAAGAAUUAUAAGAGGAAAGAAACUCUUAUUUUGGAAAGAAUUCAAGUUUUUUAAGACUUGCCAUUUUUGUGAAAUAUUAGUGCCUAUGUAAAGAGAGUAUUUCAUAAUUGAAGAGGCACAAUACAGAGCAUAAAACAAAGAAGCAAAAUUCAGUCUCCUCUCUAGAAUCCAAAUUUGGCGCAUAACGUUGUGUUGAUUUGUUUUCGUAUCUUCUUCAUUCAAAGUCUCGUAAUGAGACUAUUUCUUUUCAUCUUUAUGGAGAGUCUAUGUGGAUCUUGGAUUACUAGGCAUUGAAGAAUUAAAGAAUUGUUAUUAAUCACUUUGCAAAGUGCCUUGAGGAUCGUGGAUCAAGAGAGGUAGUAAUUAUUCAAGAGAAACAAAUUCAAUCUAAGGUUUAGUAAGUUGUAUGGUGAUAAAUUAUAAGUAAGAGUUUUAAUUUUAGUAAAUCCAUAGGUUGUAACAUUUCAACUUAAUGAAUUGCUUUUCAUCUGGGCGUGGCCUCGUGAAUAUAAGAUUGAUUAAUUUGAACCACGUAAAAAUCUCCGUGUCAUUUAAUUUCUGUAAUUUAUUGUGUUUUGGAAAAUCAAUAUUUUUUAUGCUGAUGAACAGUAACUGAUGAACAGUAAUAUUGAACAGUAUUCUCUAAAAUUAAUUAAAUUGUUAAUUCUAGGGUUUUAAUUGCCUACAUCUAUUUGCAAUAGAUCUAAAUUCCUUUCAAUUUGUAUUAGAGCAGGGCAUUAAUCGUUUAUAUGGUGAGAAUUUUGGAACCUAGAUCUAUUUUGUAGGUAUGAGUUUGUAAAGAAUGGGAGGCUCUUUGGCUCGUCCACCUAUAUUAGAUAAGACAAAUUAUGCUUAUUAGAAGCAAAUUAUGGAAAUUUAUCUGUAGUUAUUAAUGAAAGAGUUUGACAAUGUGUACUUAUAGGAUAUACUUCACCCACCAUAACUAAUGAAAAUGGUGUAGAAUCUCUAAAACCAGUCAGAGAAUGCACUAAUGAUAAACUCGAUGUAUUUGGUUAUAAUGCAAAAAGACGUAAUGCUAUUGUCAAUGGAGUUGAUGUGUUUUAACACCAACUAAUUUCUACAUGCAAGACAUCCAAAAUUGCUUGGGAUAUACUCUAAAGUACUUUUGAAGCCGAUAAUACAAUAAAACAUUCUAGACUUCAAAAACAUACAUAUGAAUUUGAGAACUUGAAAAUGCAUGAACAUGAAACCACAUUUGAAUUUAAUUCUAGAAUCCUUACUAUGGUAAAUGAUUUUUUUAUUUUGGAAAACUUAUUUCUAAGGAGGAAAUUUGUAGAAAAAUUUUAAGAUCUAUCCAUCAUUGAUAUCAUCCUAAAAUUUUGGUCAUUGAAGAAUAUAUUGAUAUGUCUACCAUGACUUGGAGUUCACUUAUAAGAAAAUUGAUGGUUUAUGAAAGUAACUACUUGAAUUUAAAUCCCAAAAAAGAAAAAGGUAUUUCUUUUCAGGUUGAAAUGGAGGCUCCUGUCACCAAACCCAAUGAGGAUGGUGAUCCAUAUGUAUAGUGGACAAUUCUUUUGUAUUUAUUGCAAAAAUUUCAAUAAGAUAUUGAAAAAAAGAAAGAACUUUAACAAACCAAAGAAAACUUCUACAUCAGUUGCUCUAACAGCUCGAAAAGGUUCCUCUAACCCUAAUCCUAAAUUGAUUUAUAUUAACAAGCUUAAGGGUAUUCGAUGUAGAGAAUGUGGAGGCAUAGGGCACAUACAAGCACAAUGUGCUAACACUCUCAUGAAAAAGAAAGCAAUGAUUCAAAUGAUAGCAUUGAUGAAGAGGAUCUUGUUGGAGGACUUAUUGUCUAUGAUAAUGUGUCAAAACAUACUUACUAAUAAUAAUGAAUAGGAAUUAAACAUCCGAGGAGCAUCCACAUCUAAAGUCUUGCAUAGAGCUCCUUGCAAAGAAAACACUAAUUGCCAUCUUGACACAAUUGUGCAACAUGGUAACAAGAAUAAUGAUUCAGAUAGUGACAUUAGUGAUAUUGAUAUAAAUGACAACGAAAGUUUUUCAUGAAAGCUACAAAAUGAAGUUGGGAUGAUCCUUCUAUUCCGGAUUGUAUGUUUGUGCAUAAGGAUCAUACCUCCUCUGAGGCAUGCCUGGAAAUCCUCCAACCGCUGCCAAAUUGUUGUGCGUUGGCAGCCAUAUUUGAUAUCAGCUCCCUUGCUUGAGUAGGGGUCUUGUUCACCAACACGCCUCCACUAGCAGCAUCUAUCAUACUCCUAUCCAUCAAUGACAGUCCUUCGUAAAAAUAUUGAAUAAGAAGUUGAUCAGAAAUCUGAUGCUGAGGACAGCUGGCACACAAUUGUUUGAAUCGCUCUCAAUACUCAUACAAAGUCUCCCCAGGAAGUUGUCUGAUCCCACAAAUGUCUUUUCUGAUGUUAGCAGCUCUUGAAGCAGGAAAGUACUUCUCGAGGAAUUGCUUCUUCAAACCAUUCCACGUUGUAAUUGAUCCAGGAGGCAAGUAGUACAACCAGUCUUUAGCUAGUCCAUCUAAAGAGAAAGGAAAAGCACGCAACUUAAUCUGCUCUUCAGUCACGCCUUGUGGUCUCAUACUUGAACAUACAACAUGAAACUCCUUGAGAUGUUUAUGAGGAUCUUCAUCUGCAAAACCAUGAAACUUGGGUAAUAAAUGAAUAAGACCAGACUUUAAUUCAAAAUUUACCUCCAAGUCUACAUAUUGAAUGCAGAGUGGUUGCUGAUUCAAGUCUAGUUCAGCUAACUCUCUAAGAGUUCUUUCUACAGGUGCAGCUCUAUCCAUCACUUGUUCUUCUGAAUCGCUAGAUGAUUCAACCAAAUCAGGCACCGUAUCUGUUUCAGAAAGCAAAGGCGACGAGGAUCGUUGCUUAGCUCGCUUUGUCUGCUGUCUCAGCUGGCGAGCUGUCUUCUCAAUUUCAGGAUUAAACAAAAGUGUACUUGUACGAGAAGAACGAAUCACACACCAAGUAAAACGUAAAAAAGGAUUAAAUAAAUGACACCAAUCCCCGGCAACGGCGCCAAAAUUUGAUGGUUGUCGAAGCCAACAAAAAUAAAUUUCUACUCUAAAUAAAUUGUGUAUAGUGAUUAAGCAGGGCCGUGUCCACAGAGAUCGGUAAUUAUUUAAAUCCUUUUGAAACGUAAAACGUAAAAUGGGGGAAUUGUUGACAAUAAUAGAAAUCAAAUUAAAAUAACCAGAAUGCAAAUUAAAGUUGUAAUUCAAAUUAGAGAAAGCUCUGGUUGAAGGAAUUAACUUAGCUUGAUUCGACUACUGAUCAUUGAUUCAAAUAUAGAUUAUUAUUACUUAUGAAUAGACCGGUUAUAGCUACUGAGACCCUCUAAUAGCCAAUCUCUCCUUAACUAGUCGAUAACCAAGGUACGACCGUUGGUUAUUUCCCUAAUCAAUAGACAACCCUAGAUACGAUCAGAGGAUUUAAUCAAUUGACAGCCUGAAAAACCAGAGAGACCCAAAUCCUAAUCAACACAUAUGAUGAUUCAUUUAAAUUAGAUUGUUUAUUCUCACAACACAACUCUCUGCUAUGUUAUUUGUCACAAACAUUAAAUUCUUCAUACGAUGAAUCCUUUAAUUGACAAUAGAUUAAGUUGAUAAUUAAAUAGUGGCCAAUUACCUAAUUAACAAACAUAAUCAUGAAACUAAUUCAGAGAAUAAACAAAUACCCAAAAAGUAAUAAAACAAUUAAAGCAUAAGAAAGAUCUCACAGUAGUGAUGAAUCAAAGCUUCAUUAACCUUCAACCAGAAAAAUAAGUUUAGUUCUUCAUAGAGAGAAGAGAAAAAUUAGAUCUAGGGUUUCUUUCUUUUCUCCAAUCCAAAUCCCCAUUUUUCACAAUAGAUUCCUCCUUAAAUACCCUCUCUCUCUUCUCUUUUAGAGUUCUAUUUAAAAUAAAAUACUAAUAUCUAAAAUAUUAAAUUCGGAAUUACAAAAAUAACCAAAAAUACAAAACACGUUAAACUAAAAACUGCAGGUCUGUAGUUGACAGCACGCGUCCACGCCUUAUCAACAAAGUUCUUCUGAUGCUCAUAAUUUCUCCAAGAGAACAAUCAUCUUUAAACAUCAUCUUAUAGCUCAAUUUUAUCACAAAUCAAUAGAAUUGCACCUACAAAAGUAAAACAAAAGUAAAUCAUUAUUAUUAAGUGCAAAACAUCGAUAUUAAGGUAAGUAAAUAAUGCAAAACUAGUGCAUAAAUUGCACUCUAACACUGCCUCUGUUGCAGCAACAAAUUCUUCCUCAAUAGAUGACAAAGCUACUAUGUGCUGUAGAGUAACUUUCCAACUUAUGAGACAACUAUCUAACAUAAAUAGAUAUCCUGAGAUAGAUUUUCUUCUGUCCAAGUCACCUGCAAAAUCAGAGUCAACAUACCCUCUGACUUCACAAACAUCAUGCUUGGAUUUACCAUACAUCAAACCAUGAUCUAAGGUGCCCUUCAGGUACCUCAUGACCCAUUUCACAACAUCCCAGUGAAGCUUACCAGGGUUACUCAUAAAUCUGCUCACAACACUUACUGCAUAAGUUAUGUCUGCUCUGGUGCAAACCAUUGCAUACAUCAAGCUUCAUACAGCUUGUGAGUAUGGUAUAUAAGCCAUCUUUACCUCCUCAACAUCUGAUGUUGGAGACAUGUUUUCAGAGAGUUUGAAUUGAGCUCUCAGAGGUGUCAGUACUGGUUUCGAGUCCAUCAUCUGAAAUCUUUCCAGCACUUUGCUGAUAUACCUUGACUGACUUAGAAAUAAGGUACCAGCUGCUCUAUCUCUAACAAUGUCUAUCCCAAGAAUCCUUUUGGCACUGCCAAGAUCUUUCAUUUCAAGUUCCCCCUUCAGCAAGUUCUUGAGUUUUUUAAUAUCACUAAGAUUUGUACCAGCAAUGAGUAUGUCAUCAACAUACAAUAGAAGAUACACUGCUCUACCUGAGUUUCCACUUGAGUUUAUAAUCUCAUGAUAGACACAACUAUCAUACUUGCUCCUGUGAUAGCAAUUGGAGAUCAUAAACUGAUCAAAUCUCUUAUACCAUUACCUAGGAGAUUGUUUCAGGUUAUAAAAAGACCUUUUAAGAAGACACGCAUAAUCCUCAUGUCCCUUUUCUUCAAAACCUUCAGGCUGAGACAUUAGUAUCUUUUCUUCAAGGUUGCCAUGUAGGAAGGCAGUCUUUACAUCCAUUUGUUCAAGCUCUAGCUCAAACAAAGCCACCAUAGCAAGCAGGAUUCUGAUUGAACUGUGUUUUACCACUGGUGAGAAGAUUUCAUUGAAAUCAAUCCCCUCAUUUUGUGUGAACCCUCUUGCCACCAGUCUUGCCUUAUAUCUUGAGUCUUCAACACCUGGAAUGCCCUCCUUUUUCUUGAAUAUCCACUUGCAGCUGACAAUCUUCCUAUUCCCUGGAUUUGGGACCAAAAUCUAAGUCUGAUUCCUUAUCAGAGAAUCCAUUUCCUCCCUCAUAGCUUUAAUCCAGUUUCUGUUGUUCUUGUGUUAGAGUGCAAUUUAUGCACUAGUUUUGCAUUGUUUACUUCCCUUAAUAUCGAUGUUUUGCACUUAAUAAUAAUGUUUUACUUGUGUUUUACUUUUGUAGGUGCAAUUCUAUUGAUUGGUGAUAAAAUUGAGCUAAAAGAUGAUGUUUAAGGAGGAUUGUUCUCUUGGAGAAAUUAUGAGCGUCAGAAGAACUUUGUUGAUAAGGCGUGGGCGCGUGCUGUCAACUGCGGACCUGCAGUUUUUAGUUUAACGUGUUUUGUAUUUUUGGUUAUUUUUGUAAUUACGAAUUUAAUAUUUCAGAUAUUAAUAUUUUAUUUUAAAUAGAAUUCUAAAAGAGAAGAGAGAGAGAGAGUAUUUAAGGGAGGAAUCUAUUGUGAAAAAGGGGAUUUUGGAUUGGAGAAAAAGAAACCCUAGAUCUAAUUUUUCUCUUCUCUCUAUGAGGAACUAAACCCAUUUUUCUGGUUGAAGGUUAAUGAAGCUUUGAUUCAUCACUACUGUGAGAUCUUUCUUGUGCUUUAAUUGUUUUAUUACUUUUUGGGUAUUUGUUUAUUCUCUGAAUUAUUUUCAUGAUUAUGUUUGUUAAUUAGGUAAUUGGCCACUAUUUAAUUAUCAACUUAAUCUAUUGUCAAUUAAAGGAUUCAUCGUAUGAAGAAUUUAAUGUUUGUGACAAAUAACAUAGCAGAGAGUUGUGUUGUGAGAAUAAACAAUCUAAUUUAAAUGAAUCAUCAUAUGUGUUGAUUAGGAUUUGGGUCUCUCUGGUUUUUCAGGCUGUCAAUUGAUUAAAUCCUAUGAUCGUAUCUAGGGUUGUCUAUUGAUUAGGGAAAUAACCAAUGGUCGUACCUUGGUUAUCGACUAGUUAAGGAGAGAUUGGCUAUUAGAGGGUCUCAGUAGCUAUAACCGGUCUAUUCAUAAGUAAUAAUAAUCUAUAUUUGAAUCAAUGACCAGUAGUCGAAUCAAGCUGAGUUAAUUCCUUCAACCAGAGCUUUCUCCAAUUUGAAUCACAACUUUAAUUUACAUUCUCGUUAUUUUAAUUUGAUUUUUAUUAUUGUCAACAAUUCCCCCAUUUUACGUUUUACGUUUCAAAAGGAUUUAAAUAAUUACCGAUCUCUGUGGACACGACCCUGCUCAAUCACUAUACACAAUUUAUUUAGAGUAGGAAUUUAUUUUUGUUGGCUUCGACACCCAUCAUCUUGCUAUUCAUUGCUUCUCUAUAGCUGUUAGGUUCUUCAAUUGUAACACUUCUGCACUCAUCAAGGCAUAUGCAACCAUAUCUGCAUAUGCAUAUCUUGUUGGAGGUCUGGUAUGUCUUCUUUCUCUAUCUCUAGCUAACUGAUAUUGUUGUAAGUCAGUUGCUUGUGGUACUUCACCUUCUGUCACUUCUGCAUCUUGAGACUCAGCUUCAACAACUUCUAGUUGUAUUUCAUCUUUAUAGUCUUUAGACAACUCUACCUCAAUCUUUUCACCUUGAUCAGUUUCUGUGGUGGCUUGUGUGUCACUUGUACUAAUGUCAUUAGCUGAAGUGGCUUGAUCAGAGUUGUUGAUCAUAGCCACUUCAUUAAACUGGACAUCUCUACUAAUCAGACACUUAUUAGCCCCUCUACACCAGACCCUGUAGCCUUUGACCCCAUCUGGAUAACCAACAAAUACUCAUUUUAUAGCUCUUGCAUCAAGCUUCCAUUGUCUGACAUGGACAUAAGCAGGGCAUCCAAAUACCUUCAGGUGUUCAUAUUUUCCAGGUCUUCCUGACCAGAGUUCUUCAGGAGUUUUGAAGCCAAUUGCAGCAGAUGGACUUUUGUUUACUAGGAACAUGGCUGUAGAUACAGCUUCUGCCCAAAGAUUCCUAGGAAGCUUAGAGUUUAUCAGCAAACAUCUUAUCUUGUCAAUAAGUGUUCUGUUCAUCCUCUCAACUAAACCAUUUUGCUGAGAGGUGAAUCUUACUGUUUUGUGCCUCCUAAUUCCCUAUUUCUGGCAGUAUUGCUCAAACUCCUUAUUACAGAAUUCAAGUCCAUUGUCUGUUCUUAAGCAUUUCACCUUGAAACCAGAUUGAGUCUCCACCAAAGUCUUCCAAAUCUUGAACUUCUCUAAGGCUUGGUAUUUGGUCUUCAGUAUGUGGAACCAUACUUUCCUAGAGUAGUCAUCUAUUACUGACAUAAAAUACCUUCCCCCACUCAAGGAUGGUACUUGGGCAGGCCCCCACAAAUCAGCAUGUACAUAAUUUAAUGGUUGUUUAGAUACAUGCAUGCCCUUUGUGAAUUUGGACCUGUGUGCUUUGCCAAAGAUGCAGUUUUUACAGAAAUCUAACUCAUCUAUAUUAUCACCACAUAGCAGCCCUUGCUUACUCAGCUCUUGCAUUCCUCUAAUACUCAUAUGGCCUAGUCUAAGGUGCCAUAACAUGGUUCUAUUAACAUUAGAAAUAGCAGGCAUUGCAACUGACCCAGGCACUGAUGACCCUUCCAACACAUACAGGCCAUUCUUCGUGACUCCUCUCAUUAUCAUCUCAAUCCCCUUCAUAAUCUUUAAACCACUAUUUUCAUAUUUGAAGCUAUAUCCCAUACUAUCUAGCAUGCCUAAAGAGAUCAGGUUCCUCUUUAGCCUAGGUGCAUGCCUGACAUCACUUAGAGUUUGGAGAGUCCCAUCGAACAUCUCUAUUUUCACAGAUCUCAUACCCACAAUCUUACAAACAUUAUUGUUACCCAUCAACACUCUACCACCAUCCAUAGGUUUAUAUGUAUGGAAAAUGUUUUUAUCAGGACACAAAUGAAAUGAACAACCUGAAUCAAGAACCCAAUGACCUUUGAUAUUGUUGUUUGAAGCCACCAACAUAUCAGCACUAUGGUAUCCAUCAUCAGAGGAGUCAUCUGAGGCCACUGCUGUAUCACUAGUUCUUUCUUUUUCAUCCUUCUUUUUCUCAGCACAAUCUCUGAUGUAGUGACCUUGUUUCUUGCAGUAGAAACACAUUCUUUUCUUCAUUUUUUCUUUUACAGAUGCAUCAUCCCUUUUAGCUUGACUCUUGUUCUUCUUCUUCUGAUUUUUCUUUUCUGUUCUGGCAAAUAAACCUUCACCAUUACUAACUUCAUGCCCAUUAUUCUUCUGGAUCUCCUUAGAGCUCAAAGAGGCUUUCACAUCCUCUAGCGUUAGAGUGGUUCUUCCAUACAACAUAGUGUCUACAAAUCCUUCAUAGAUUUUAGGCAAUGAACUCAGUAGAAAGAAAGCUUUAUCCUCAUCAAUGAUUUUCACAUUUUCCACUCCUUCAAGAUAAAGAAUGAUCUUGUUGAAGUUGUCAAUGUAUUCUUGAAUCGAGACCCCUUUUCUCAUAGAAAAGGUGUAUAGUCUGUUCUUCAAGAACAAUCGAUGUGCCAUAGACUUUUUCAUACACAGAGCCUCCACCUUGUUCCAGAUACCAAGGGCAGUCUUCUCUUCAGAAAUCUCCCUUAGAAUUGAGUCACUGAGACUCAAAAUCAAGGUACUGUGAGCCUUGUUAUGUAUCUGUCUUUUCUUCUCAUCAGAGACUGAACUUGAAGCAUCCCCAUGAUCAUCUUCUUCCAGAGCUGAUUUGAGACCUUGAUGAACAAGGAGAGCCAUCAUCUUCAUCUUCCAAAGUGAAAAGUCACCACCAAUGGUGAACCUUUCAAUAUCAGGUUUUGGAAGAGACAUGUUCUUAAACCACCAAUGGCUCUGAUACCAGUUGUUAUAGCCCUAUUAACGUAUUGAAUCUAGAAAGAACUAAUCAAAGCAAGUUAAUCAAGAAAGAAACAGAAAAGAACUUGAACAGAAUACUGUUUCAAGCACACAACUUGUAGAAAGAAAAAACUGCUCUUUUAUUGAUCUCCAUAAUCGAAUUACAAGCUAAUCCUUUAGAAGCAAUUACAAGGAUCACCAAGAACCAAAUAACUAGCAAAAUGACCAAGGAAUGAAGAAGAUUACAAUCUAAUAUCAGAGGCUAAAACACACGUAUUUAUAUUAUGGUAUUUCUGGAAAGCCAUAACGAACUCAUAAUGAAUUCUGCCACAUCAACUUUAAUAUUUCAACUAGACCCUUCCAACUGAAGUCGAUAUGCACAAUGCCCCCAGACUUCUUCAAAUCUUUCAUUUAAACCCAAUGACCAGCAGUUGACCAGCAGCUUAUUUCCUCACAAACCUCAACAUCUUGUUGAAAAAACUUACGGAUCCCAUCAAUGGCCUGAUCCAAAAUGCUUGUUGGGAUUCCAUGAUUGAUCACUUGAAAGAAACCCCACUUCUCACAAGCACUUCUAAUUUGGUCAAUUACCUGAGAACGCAAACUUGAAUCCUUGUGUAUUCUUUGAAGGUCUAUGAUAGGGAUGCUGAUUUCGGGGUCCUUGCAGAUUGGCUUAUCAUCAAACUUAUGUUUAGUGUGAUGAUCUUGAAUGAUGAUCUGUGGAAUGGUUGUGAUCCCAGCAUCUACGAGUCCCUUAACACCAGCUUUCGUGUCAUCAAAAGCUUUCAACUCGCUAACUCUGUCACAAGUAAUGCUUCCCAUUGCUUGGUGAAUUAUCUUUUACCUGGUGAAUUAUGAAGUACAAAUGCUGACUUGCGGGUGAUUGCUUUUGGUAUAUGCCGUUUAUAUGAAUAUGAUUGCUAGCUUGCCACGUGCAACAUGUUGAAAUAUAAUGUUAGCAUGAAGAUAUGGAAAUUUGUAAAUUUUGAUUCUGCGUUAUUUAUCAUGAUUAAAUUAAUUAUAAAUUAUCAAUAAUAGUCAAUUCCGGGGACCACCAACUACUGGGUGGCACAUCACAAUAAUAAAUUAUCAAUAAUAGUCAAUUCUGCAUUAUUUAAUAUUUAUGUGGAUAAAAUUUCAAUUAGCUACACUACAUUGUUGUUUGAUAGUUAACGUUUCACUUUCUCCAUUUGUAAAAAUUAUUAUGGACUUAUAGUGUGGCUUAAAAGCUAGAUCUUAAAUGAAAAGAAAGCUUUAAUGGCGAAAUAAAAAUUUAAAUAAAUGAAAAAGAGAUUAAAGGUUAACCUAAUGUUAGCAAAAAUAAUUGUAAAAUAUACAUGUUUUAUCAUGUUAAUUGAUGUUUUUCCAGUAUGCACAUAAAAAAGAUCUAUUUUACAAUUGUUUCUGUUGGCGUUCGGGCAGAUUUUUUUUAGUCUAAUUAAGUAUAUCAUAAGUUAAUAAUAGUGCGUAUUUUAACUUUAAUAAAUUUGGCCACUUAGAUUUUUAAUUUUGACUCCUUCCCUAAUCAAUCAAGAAAAAGAAUGCUUUUCUCCAUAAAAAUUAAAAUAGAAAAUUUAGCAAGGACAUAACUGCGGAGAUGUUUGAUUCUGGAUUUAUAUAUCAAAGCAACAUCAAAAUUAUAAUACUUCCUUGUUACCAAGAAGAGAUAUAUCCAAGAGCACUAGCCUUAUAAAGCCUUAACAAUACUAAACUACCCACAUGGAAUCUAAUGCGUACAUGCAAUGCUUUCUAAAGUGAAACUGUCGCUUGAAAAUAGAAUUCAUGUUCAGCAGCCUCUCUCUAUCCGAGCUCCAAUUUUAUAACAAGGCAGCUAAAUAAGAUGAUUUAGAUGGCAUCGGCAUCUGUAGUAUCGUUUGUCUGUAGUCCCUCAUUAUCUACGAUCUGAUCGCUCCCUAUAGUAUUGUUUGUCUGUAGUCCCUCAUUAUCUACGAUCUGAUCGCUCCCUAUAGUAUUGUUUGUCUGUAGUCCCUCAUUAUCUACGCCCUGAUCGCUCCCUAUAAUAUUGUUUGUCUGUAGUCCCUCAUUAUCUACGCUCUGAUCGCUCCCUAUGUAGAGAAUCAACAAGAGCAAAUUGUAGCACACGUUCACAGCACUAAUAACUGUUAAACUCUUAUAGUACUUGUCAAGCCUACUAUCAUCCAAGGUUUCAGCAAACUCGCCUUUGUUUGCCAAAAUGAAAAAGAUGUUAAAAAUGCUUCCUAUUCCGACGAAAAAAGAACUUAUUGCUGAUACAUGGUACUCCAUCCGUUCAGGAAAAUGAGAGCUCGAGUAUUCAUCACAUCCAUGCAAAGCAAGCCCUUCCAUAAGACCCAAUAGACAGAAUUGUGGAACAAGCCAAAACAUGAUCAUAUUUUCCAAUUGUUUGCUCUUUUCCAACCUGCGAACCUCAACCUGCCAUGCCACUACACAGCAAACUGUAGACAUCACCAUUCCAAUGAAUGUUCUCAAUACUUGAGCUUGUCUCUGCUUUGUUUCCGGAACAAAUUUGGAAAUUAAUUUUUUCGACAGAUAAGAGAUCGUCGCACGAAUUAUGGCUUCAAAAGUAAGUAGAAAGAUUAAGUAACGUUCAGAAAUCAUUUUGGCUCCCUGCUUAGGAAAAAAUGUAUUUCCCGCUGACAGAACCAAUCCAAACACAAUGAAGCUAGACCACAGUGGCAACAAUUUAAGAAGAGAUUUUAACUCCCUGACCUGAGCCACAGUGCAAAGUGUGCCUGCCUCUUCUUGUUCUUUAGAAGUGCUUGAUGUCUCUAUAAUUGCCGCUUUGUCUAUCCACCUACAAUUCAAAGAAUUAGUUUAUUGGUAGUUUUUUAGGAAAAUAGAAAGCGACAGCUCAUGGUUUGGCAAAAUGAUCACACAGACGCUUUUAUAAAUACGCCCUUUUGGACAAAUCUUGGAGGUCGGUGUGACUAUUCCCGAACACAAAAGGGUAUUAAUGUGUCCAUAAAGAGGUUUAUAUAAGUAUUAAUAAAAAUAAGAGGGUCUCCCCGACAAUUUUGCCAGACCACGGGCCGGGUGUGGGUGUAUACAUGUUAGGCAUAUACCUGAGUAAUUUGAUUCUGGGUGACAAGUGUAAUACGUUUCCCUCAUCAUUACUGAAGAACUGCUCUGGAGAAAGAGGAUAAUUGAGAUGCUUUUUCUUGAGGGAGGUUUUAACAACGCGGAUUAUAGCAAAACGGUCAAUAGGAGGUAUUUCUGUAUUAUGAUAAAAGGGAAUACCUAAUAACAGGAGGAUCAAACUGCCCCCCAUAAGCAACAAUGUAAACAUGAAAGUCUUCUUCCAUGUCUUAAUAUUAUUUGCGUAGAAUGCCGCAGCUGUACCACAGCACCAGGCAAACCGCCGCCACACUCUUUUCUGAGCCAUUACUUGAUCCUCAUUUGAAUUUUCGGUUCUCCCUCCUUCACCAUGUUGUCUUAAUUGAUAGGCAAGAAAUGGUCCCAAAAGAGGAGCCGCUCCAACUUCACCCACUGCUAACAGGAUAAUUCCUAUCAUGUUGAGUAGCUCAAAGUUGGUUUCUGAAAAUUCUCUGGACGCUGUACAGAACAAUAGCCCCAAUGCCUGAAACAAAAAUUGUUGGAACUAAUUGUAUAGCGUAACAUUAUGAUCCUAGAAAUGCUUUUCUUAAUCAUUAUUAUAAUGAGAGUGAAGCCAAAAUGAAUUAAUGUCACAUUAAUUAUAACUUAUCUAUUGAGAUCUCUAUCAUUAUAUUUAUAGGGGUAAGGCUCAUAAUAUCAUCGUAUUACGGGUGUGUGUGUAUAUAUAUAUAUAUUUUAAUAUGCCGUGAAAUUUAACAUUUACUGCAAAAUAAUAAUUUUUUAAUUUAGCCCAAAGUACUACAAAGUCCUGGGUCCGCCCCUGAAUAUAUAUAUUGCUUGCAAACCUAGGAUCAUAACAUAUGUUUUAAUUUCGUCUCUGUUUAGAAGUUUAGCAAAUUCAAAACAUAUUAACUUUCAAGGAUGUAGGAGACAGUUGAAAAAAUGAGGAUUCUGAGAGGACGAAUAGCAUAACACGAAAUCCAGGCGGCAACAACUGUAAGAGUUGCUAAUAUUACAUCCUGAAUACUCGUAAAUAUUGCAGCUUUUUGAAAUGUGAAUACUUUUGAAUAUUCGGAGUCGGAGAAGUAAGUUAUCAAGACGCCCACUAUAGCCAAGUCUACCAGUUUGCGGCUUAUCAACAAACCUGGAAUCAAAAUAAUCAUUAGAAAAAAUGUUCGUGCUCACUAAAAAAAGCAUACACGUGACGACUGCAAGAACAAUGUGAGAGAACUAUUGUCAUGUUUUUAUAAUUUAGCCCAACCUAAUCAAAAAUCUUAAAUACACCUCUCUUAACUGAAAUUAUUUUAGGGGAUUAUCUAUUUAGGAAUCUCAAAUUUCAUGAGCUCUUAAUACACACUCUGUAGUGUUUUUGAGUGACAGAUUAUUGUACAAUCAACUCGAAACACUUGCCAAGAUCGCAAAUCAAACAACCAAGAUGUAACAAGAACCAACCCAGAACAAAUCACAGAGAACUAGGACUAUAGGAACUUAGCAGUAAAACAAGGAAAUUAACGUGGUUCAGCUAGCUUCCACUAGCUUACAUCCGCGGGAAAACCAGGACCAAGUUUAUUGAUUUAUCAACCACAAUUACAGAGAAUCUCAAGAGCUGAUUACAGAGCUUUUCCAAGAAGCUUUCUCCUAAAACUUCUCUACCCACAUUAGCUCUCACACAUACGCUCCUGUUGCAACUAGAACCAGCUGUUUAUAACAGCUUCUUCAACGAACCAGGAUGAGCCCAGAAACUCACAUGAUUGGCAUGCGUGAUAAUAGACUCAUAACGAUCUUUCAAGGGAUGGCAAAACCCCGGGCCGGGUCCGGGUAUUGCAAUGACCGGACCCUGCCCGGAUGCAACCGGUCCAGGUUAGGGUCGGGUUUUAAUUCGGGUACCCAAAUUUUAUAUUUUUUUAAUAUUAUAUGUGUAUAUAUUUUAUAUUUUUUGGUAAUUUUAUAAGUUUUAAAUUUAUUUCAAUAAAAUUUGACAUGAAAAUAUAAACUUUAAGUGUUUAAAACUUUAUAUAUGUAUAAUAAAUGAGUCAAAUAAAUAUAAAUAUUUAAAAUAAUAUAUAUUUUAUAAUUUUUUUAAUAAAAUCCGGGUUCUGGGUUUAUCAAGUGAUGCCCAAUACCGACCCGACUUCAUACCCGGGCCGGGUAAUACCCGGCUCACAACGCACGGGUACGGUCCGGGUCCGGACCGAGUGGGUAUUUUUUGCCACCUCUAGAUCUUUGAAAACAACUUAUUCGAGCACGUGAUUCUCUCGUCCAUUACUUAAACCAAAACGACAUUCAGACAAGUCGUCCCAGUGAUGAGAGAAUGCUGCUCUUCAAAACGCAACACCAGCUGGUUGUUUCAAUAUCCUGAUUUGCUUCACAACACAACACACACACAUACGUAUACGUACAUACAUACACGUACGUACAUACAUCAUCAUGUUGUUAAAGUAAUGAUGUUAGUAAAAUACAAAAAGAAUAUAGUUUUAAAUACAUUGGAGAUUUUGUCUUUUUUGUACUUUACUAACAUCGUCAUUAACAGAAUGAGGAUACCUUUAUUAAAGAAUGAUUAUAUAUAGAUAGUUUUUUUUUUCUCGUGAGCGUUCUCACAUAUUUUUUUAUACGUACACACUAUUAAAUUGUAUGGUUUAAUAAAAUUAGUAUAGACAAUUAAACUACAUGAUUUUGUAGUGUAUUAAAAAUUAAUUCUAUUAAACCAUACAAUUUAAUAAUGUGUCUGUAUUAAAAAAAAAACCAUACAUAUGUAUACAGGUUUAUAUUCUAAAUAAAUACAUUUUUAAAAGAUACGAAUACCUAAGGCCCCACGUGCAAAAUUACCUGACAUAAAUGCAGCAGCCUUACAAAAACAGACGUAAUAUCGUACCCAAGUCAUGAACCUGCUUUGAACCUUCAACAACCGAGAAAAUGGAAACAUUGUAGUUUCUGAAACUGCUUCUUUUAUCAGCAAAUACUUCUACUUGUGACUUGUGAAUCCCGAGACGAUGAAGAUUUUGUAAUUAUACCAAAGUUUUCGCUAGUCUUCUAAAAAGGUCGUUUAUUCAAAUUAAAAAAUAAUAAGUCGCACUUCAAGACCACCUAUUGGUCACAUAAGUCCUUUUUUUCUUAUUUUUAGGGUUCUAAAACGUUAGUUUAUUCAAAUUAAAAAAUAAUAAGUCGCACUUCAAGACCACCUAUUGGUCACAUAGGUCUUUUUUUUCUUCUUGUUUUUAGUCUUCUAAAAAGUUAGUUUAUUCAAAUUAAAAAAUAAUAAGUCGCACUUCAAGACCACCUAUUGGUCACUUCAAGACCGCCUAUUCGUCACAUAAGUCUUUUUUUUUUUUUUCUUGUAACUAAAGGAUCCAGCUACGGUGCAACAGGUGCACCGUGCCCCUCUUUUUCCUUUUUUGACAGCACCCCUUACUUUCUUCUGUAUUUACAGUUUAUUAAAGUAAUUUCUUUUUCCUCUUUCUUUCACCCCUCAUCUUUACAAUCUUCAAUUUUUUUCCAUUUUGAAUUAAACCUAUAAUCAACCAACUGCAAGCAAUAAGAAAGAAGUUGACAAGCUAUUUCUUUAUCACCUUAGGAUUCAUUUGCUCGAUAAUACAUAAGUAAUAAUGAAUUGAAGUUUUUAUAUAAAAAAAUCACAUAGAUGUAAUAUUUUUACACACACUAUUUAUCAUCUACAAUGAUUUUUUUGUCUUUUACUAUAUAUAUUCUUCCCCUUUCUCCUCCGUAUGCCUUUCCAUUUUCUCUUUGAAUAAUCUAACCUAAGGCUUUCUAAUAAUUGGUUUAUUGUUAUUAUUUUUAUAAGUAAACCUUCUCUUUAUUAUGUCAAUAGGUUUAUUUUUUCAAGAAAAAAAAUUCGUAAAUGACCAAAAGUGAGAGCAUUAAUAAAAAUUCAAAACCUAUCUUAAUUUUUGUUGUCUUUGUUGAUGCAUCUCGCAUGUUUGAUCUCUUAAUUAUAACUUGUGAGAGUAAAUACUGUAAUACAAUGAUAAUAAAUUGAUGAUUAGUAAUUCUUACUAAGAGUAUUCAGAGACAAAGAAGUUGGUGUAAAAUUUUAUAAACUUUGACUUUUCUAAAUUUUCACUAAACAAUAGGGAUUGCAUUAUUAAUAACUAAAUAAACACAUCCAUAACCUUGAAACUACAUUUGUGUUAGAUCCAAUGGUGACAGCACAAAAAGACAGAAAGAGGGGUAUGGUGCACCCCUUGCACUGUAGCUGAAUCCUUUAGUUACAAAAUAAUGACUUACUGUACAGCUCAAUAAUUUUAGGUGGUAUGAAACACGUAUGAUGAGACGGUCAUAAUUACACUGUACCAUGAAUGAUCCUCAUUGAGUAUAUAAUCCCUUUCUUUUUUCAAACAAGAUUUAUGCUUUAGUUUUGGGAGGUUUGCUAAGUUCUUUCUUUUUAUAAUGGUUACGGAGAAUGACAAUUUUCUAUUGAAGUUAUUUAUACAUGUAUUUCUUUUUCAGCAUGUAAUACAUUUAGGAAAUGAGUAAUUAUUAAGUACAAACACUUUUAGAUAAACAAUGUUGUACGAACUUAUGUGAUAUUUUUUAGAAAAAAGGAUCUGAACAUCGUUAAGAUUUUAAAAAAUGGUCAUAUAUACUUUGAGUUUUCAAUAAGGGACAUCAAGACACUUUUUGACUAUAGUAUCCUUAAUAGAUAAUAACAAAAAAUAUUGACUUUAAACAUUUUAAUAAAUAUAAAUAAAAUUUAAAUAGUUUGAUAUGUCUAGUAGACUAAUAAUAUUAGAACGUUUCUUAAUAUAUAAAUAAUUUUUAAAAGAUAAAUUAGUAUAUUUAUUUUAAUAAUAUAUUUUUACUUAUUAUAAAAAUUGUAAAUAAAUCUUUAGGUUAGAUAGAUUUUAAAUUUAAUAAAAUACAUGUCAUGUACUAAUAAUAUUAAAACUAUUUUAUAUAAUAUUGAAAAUAAUUUAAAUUUUAAAUUUUAAUAUUAUGUUUCGAUUUAUUUUGAAAUUUAGUUUAAUAUAAUUUAAUGUUGUAAUGUAUUAAAAUAUUUUAAAAAUAUGGAAAUUAUUUUAAAAUGUAUAUAUUGUUACAUUUAUUUUAAUAUUAUACUUCUAUUUAUUAUAAAAUAUUAAAAAUAAUAUUUUAAUUAAAAGGGAGUUUUGAUGUCUUUUACUGAAAAAAUGGAGUGUACAUAAUCAUUUUUUCAAAUUUUCAACGGUGUACAUGUCAUUUUUCUUACUUUUUUAUAAUCAGUUGAAUAAAAAAAAGUCAUCUGGCCACAUAAAUUAUUUCUAAUUUAUAUUUUUAAUCAACAAAUCAUAAUGUGUCACAUCUAUUUGUAUAAGCAUUUAUGAACAUAAAAAAUUAAGUUUAGGCACUAGUCAGGUUGGAAAUCAACCCAUCCAACCCAUGUAUAGUGCUAGUUGGGUGAGUUGGACUUAUCUCGAAGACCCAUUUUCUGUCUUUGAAAUAUCAAUAUGAAAUUAAAAUAAUUAAAAAAUAAUUUAAUUGAAACAACUAAAAAUAGAAUACAAAAUUACAAAUAAUAACUAUCCCCCAAACUUCAUUGUUAAUAAAAAUAAUUAUUUGUAUAGGAUCCUAAUUACACCAUAAAAAGUAAUAGGAUGAAUUCAAGAGUUGGGUUUGAAAAUUUUCAACACCUAGUAAAUAUAGUGCAUUUUCUCCACCCCUAUGAAAUUAGGGGUUGGCUUUCUACUUGAUUUUAAGUAGAGAAAAUGAUCAAAACUACCUUAUUGUUUGUUAAAACUAUAGGGUGAAUUUAAGAGUUGGGUUUGAAAGAUGCAAUAUGUUCAUAUAUAUAUAUAUGAACAUAUUGCAUCUUCACUAUCUUAUCCCCAGAAUUUUUGCACCAAAUCAUGGUAAAAGAAUAAAAAUUCGCAACCCGAAUCAACAAAGUAUUAUCACUAAGUUAUUCUGCAAGCCGCCAAAUUGGAAAAUAUUCCAAAUAAUUAAUUAACCACAGCGACUUGACAGCUUAACUUUUUCCAACGCUGAGAGUCCUUCAUUCUUCCCUAUUGAGGAUUGGUUAUUGUAAACGUCUGUUGGAGUAACAUGGGGAUAGUGCGGAUGAUUUUUUUCACCAUAUUGUCUCGAGCAACUGUUAUUCAUAAAAAAAACUUCCAAUUGAAAUCGUUGAGCCUCGCCUUCUUGACAAGACUCUGUGAUAGGCACUCUUGAACGCGACACUGGUAAUCAGCUGCAUAAACAUAUAAAAGAACACUAUAAUUAAGUUAUAUGAUGGAUUCAUAAUAGUCAAAGUUGUGCAUAACAUCUACUUGCCUGCAUCAUGUAGCCUAAGUUUACAACUAGAGCCCCGGAAACUGGGGUAAUAUCAAACCAUUGAUCUUCACAAAAGACUUGGAGGCCACAAUUCGAUCUUGUAUGAGCAUAGUGACAAAUCCAGGGUCAGAACGUAUUGUUACGCCAAUUGUCAAUUUCGGAUGAGGGCUUUCUGGGUAGUGACUAUUCCUAAUAGUCAUUUCCUCUACAGAACCUGUGUCUUUCAGGUAACUGGGGCCAAACCCUAAAGCUUCAGACAAAAGUUCAAAGAGAGUGAAUUAGCAAUUGGCGUGGUUGGAGAAAAAUCAGUUUUUAAAUUUUUUUUAAAAGAAACUUUUUAGGGUCGAUCUCAUACAAUAUAUAAGAAUUCGUAAUUUAGAAAUUGUACCUUGAAAAUCUGAGAAAAUGAACAAUCUUUGCUUUUUCCACUGAAGUGAAACUAGACUCCCAGAUCACGAUCCGUCACCACCACGCCUGCUAGAUCACAGUCUGUCACCACCAUGCUUGUUAGAUCACGAACUAUCACCAAUGAUCUUUCAGAUUAUGACUUAGGUUUGAUCUGCACUUGACGUGUGAGUGCCUUUAUCACUACCAAUAGCAACUAGUAGGAGAAAAUUUUUCUCUCAAGAUUAGAGAGAAAAAUUCUUUUUCUCUUAUCUGUAUAAUGUGGCCUUAUAUCUUUUCAAGAGAAAAUAAGCCCUUUUAUAUCUUAUCUAGUGGAAACCCUAAGCUCUAUAUUUUCUAUUUUUUAAUUCUAUUAACAUAAGGCCCCUUACACAUAAGCAUAUUAUAUGGAGCCUCUCAGUAAAUAAUAUAUUUAGGCUUUUAACCCAAAUAGCUAGUUAUAUUGCUUAUUAAUCCAGUAGCGGCGUAGUAAUGAGCUAACCCAAGGAUCAUUUAAGAACAUAUAAUAGUGGCUACAAUAAUUAGGCCUGUAAUCAAACUAGCUCAAUUAUUUAAUUCCAAAUCUACUCCACUAAAAGAUUGGAACUGACCUUCAUAAUUGUAUGCUUGAAUAAUAAUUCAUCCCAAGCCACAUUGGUUUCUUUACUGCACAAUCUUUUGUACCACAUCAUUAAUUAAAUCGAUAUCUCAACUGUCCAAUCAAUUUAAUUACAUCUUGUUCCUUGAUUCUUACUGGUUUUCUCUAAUGAUCAUUUUCAACAUACUAAAUAAGUCGACACACUUUGACCAGAGAAUUCUAUGAUUAAGUGCCGAAAACCCAUUAAGAGAUGUGUUGUACAAAUUCUAUAUUGUCAAUCUAUGACUAUAAUACUCAUAAUUGCUCUCAUCAAGAUACUGGGUAAUCUUGACUACAAGUAUGUGUCAUGCCCAUUGGUAAUUCAAAUGGAAUAACAAUUACAAUCAUGAAAUCAUAAUUAACUUAAGAUUAAGAUUACAAUAAAAUCAAUGUCUCUGAGAUCUAAUGAGUCUGACAGUAAUUACAAAGUUAAUUAAAUCUCAUAUGUGAUCAUGUUCAAUGUAGUCUUACUACAUUAAUAAAUUCAUAUAUGAUUAAGACAAAUCAUUCAAUGAAUUCAUUACAGUCUAUACAUAAAUAAAGUACCCAACUUUAUUUAUCAACUACGAAAUAAAUUUAUUUAAUCAUAAGAUAACUUGUAUUUAUGUCUUCUGUGAAUCCACAUGGUGAUUCUUGUGCAAAUUUAUUGAACUCGCAAGUGCACGAAUAUAUUAUAGAAUAGAUUAAUGGUGACGAGUGUCGAUCCCACGAGAAAGUAGAUUUUGAUUAUGUGUAGAAUUAAUUUUCUAUGAGAGUGCUUGGAUUUGUGGUGAAAAUGAUUUGGAAUAUUCUAAACAUUAAAUUAGAAUGGCAGGAAUAAAUUAAAGUGAAAUCUAUUGAAAUGAAGCACUUGGGUAUCUGGAUCUGCAUUAACAUGCACCAUGUGCUAAAUAUUCCUUAGUAAUGUCAAUUAAAUCAUGAGGGGGGUUUCUAUUCCUCAUGAACCACACUCUAAUCAAUAUGGUGCUAAGGGCUUAUCGUGCCAAAUAAUAAUAACCUUGUACUAGGGAGUCGGUUAAACUGGUGCGGUAUCUAGACAAGAUUAUUACUAUUUUUCGACGAAAAGUCAAAACAUCAACAAUAAUUAGAGGGGAAGAGAAAGUAAAUUUACCAAAUAAAGCCCAUGGUACAUGUUGAGACUUCACCAACCCAAGCUUGAAAGAAAAUUAACUACUCAUAAUUGAACUAAGGGUAAAAUGAGAAUUUAUUAAAUACAUAGAAAAUACAAAAUGGAGAAGGAAUUACAGAAAAUAGAGCUCAAAAAUGAAUUCAGGGAUGCCAAAUUAGGGGGGAGCCCCCCUUUAAUAGAUACACUGAGUAAAUCAUGGCCAUCAGAUUAAAAACAUUUUGGACGCUCAAGAUUGCACUACGUCAUCGGUCAACAGUACGCGGCUUGACCACGCGGUUUGGUUGUAAAUAAUCCCGUGUAUAUGCAUGUAUUGUACGCACUAUUUUUUAUCCGCUAACAUGCUGCCACAUCACCGAUCAAUAGUACAUAAGAAUUUUAGUCUAAUAAAAUCGUGACAUCUCAUCAGUCAAUGCCACAUCAUCGGUCAAUGCCACGUCAUCAUUCCAUAUAUGUGAACAGUGUCGUGAAUAGUAACACAGUACCGUAUCUGUGAAUAGUACCGUACAUGUAAACAAUGUCAUUUUUCAUUUUAAACUCCUCCUAAGGUUUUCGACUGUCCUGAUCUCAAAAGUGAUGUCCGUUUUGCUGUAUGAUCUCUCGUUCAUUGUGAAAUGACUAUGAUGCCCCUAAAAUACAUAAAACCAUAAUUAUAAUACAACACACAUAAUUAAAUCACAAGAAACUUAAAUACAUAAAAGUAGAAAUGUUAGUGAAACUUGAAGUGUAAAAUAACGAUUUUCUCCUUCAUAAAUAUAUAUUUUCUAACACUCAACAGUGAUCACAUAAAUACAUAUAAUAUGAUUAAAUGGACUUUAAUCAAAAUAUUAAUGCAAUUAAGAUAUUUGAAUAAAAUACCUCAUUUAUUUUAUUAAUUAGAAAAAUUGUUUAUUACAAUUAAAUAAACACAUGCUUUUAAAGAGCAUAUUUUCCCAACAGGCGUAUCUCAUAAAGCCAACUUCGGUGGUUGGGGUAUCCUGCUGUGCAACGCUGUAUCUCUUACAACCAACUUUUACGACUUGGACAAUUUGUAUUUUACCGAUUGUCCAUUGAAUUAAUUUGUUUUUGCGGAAAAUGAAUAUUAAUAAAAGAUUAAAAUAAAUAAAAUUAUAAAUAAUUAAAAUCACAGAUUGUCCCAGACCACCAAUAAAACCUCUAAAACUAAAAUUAUAAGCUCCUCCGUAAGAUCCACCAUUAUAUUUCUGAUUACCACUAGCAUUGUUUCAAGGAUUAAAAUGGUUUUGAGUUACAUUAGCUAACAAGUUAUGUGUGACAUCACUAGCAAUUUUACCUCUUGUCUGUUCAACUCUAUUCUCCUGAUUUAGCAGUAAAGAGUAAAAUUCAUCAAGACUGAUCUUAUCACCUCCAGCUAACACACUUAUAACUAAAGAUUCAUAAUCAGAUGAAUCUAGUUUAGUCUAAAUAUAUUGAACAAAAUCACUUAACUCAACAGAUUUUCUAGCUAAAGCCAGAUUGUCAGACAAUCUCUUCAUUUUAACAAAGUAAUCAAUCAUAGACAUUUAUCUUUUUUUGAGUGUUUGAAUAUGCAUCUUAAAGGCAUAGGCAUUAUUCUAGCUUGAGAUUGUAAAGUAAACAUACUUGUGAGUGUAUCCAAAAGCUCUUUAGCAACGAAGCAAUAAAUGAUUGGAGCGAGUAGAUUUUGCUGAAUAGAUGACAACAUCCAACUCAAAACUAAUUGAUCUGUCUUCAUCUAGGCUGUGUAUGCUGGAUUGACCUUUCUAUUUUUAGUACUAGUUGAGGACCAACUUCACUGGUGUGAGAAAUUACUCUGGACAAGUUUGAUCACCAUUAAUGAAAUUAUCCAGAUCGUUUCCUUUGAUCGAUGUUAAAACCUGAGUUUGCCAGACAAUGAAAUUAUUUUGAUCUAGCUUAACAUGAUUGAUAAAACUAUAGGAUCCAGAAAAUUGAUUAGAACUCACCAUUGUAGGCUCUGAUAUCAUGAUAGAAUUUGUAAUAUAUAUGUUUGGAAAGCAAGAAAAUUAAGGAGAAAAAGAUAGAAAGAAAAGAGGAAGAAUUUAGAAUAUGUUAAUUGUUCAGUACAUUACAAAUGUGAUUAUAGCCUUUGUAUUUAUAUUGAGUGAAAUGCUUAACUAUAAUUUGUUAUAACUGGAAUACGUGCUAAACAGUUCGUUAGCCAGAAGGCUGAGAUGGCUAACUAAUUAUUCCGCGUCAGCAAGAGCACUCAUGUAUGGUCCUCAUCCUUACUGUUAUUAUCAUACUCUGUAACAGUUCUUCUACAUCUUCUUGCUCUUCAGGACCAAGUGUACUUCGUGGCUCUAUAAUUGCUGCUUUGUCUAUCUAUCUGCAAUUCAAAGAAUUAAUUUAUUGGUCAUUUUUUUAGGAAAAAAGAUAACGAAACAUAGUUGUUUGGUAAAAUAGUCAUGUGAACUCUUUCUUCAAAACAUAUAUAAAAACAAACCUUGGAGAUCAGUAUUGUCUAUGUGAUAAUUUCUAAAAAUAAGAGGUCUACCUGACAAUUUUUUCAAACCAUGGGAUGUUGGUAUAUACUCUUUAAGUAUGUACCUUAGUAAUUUGAUUCUAGUUGACAAGGGUAAUUCAUUUUCAUCAUCAUUACAGGAGAACUGAUCUGCAAAAGAAGGAUAAUUGAGAUGCCUUUUCUUCAGGGCAGCUUUAAAAUGACAGAUUACAGCAAAACCGUGAAUAAGAGGUAAUUGUUUACUAUGAUAAAAGGGAAUACCCAACAGCAACAAGACCAAACUGCUCCCAUAACCAAUAUUGUGAACCUCAAAGUCCUCCGUCAUGUUUCCAGAUUAUUUGCAGGGAAUGUUACAACCACAUUACAACACCAGGCAAGCUGCAGCUAUACUUCUUUUUGAGCCUUUACUUAUUUCUCAUUUGGAUUUUUUGUUCUCCCUUCAUCACCAUGUGCUCUUAAUUGAUCGACAAGACAUGGUCCUAAAAGAGGCCCCAUUCCAAAGUCACCCACUGCUAACAAGAUCAUUCCUAUUACGUUGAGCAGUUCAAAUUUAGUUUCUAAGAAUUUACUGGACGCUGUAUAGUACAAUAGCCUUAAUGCCUCCAACAACAAUAGUCGGAACUAAUUGUAUGGCAUAACAUUAUGAUCCUAAAUAUGCUUCUUAAUCAUUACUAUAGUUAGGAGCGGAACAAAAUUGAGAUUUAGGGGGCCAAGUGUAAUUAAGGCAAUUAUUUCAGGAUUAGAGAGUAUUAGUUAUUUUCUGGGGUUAGGGGAUGGGGUUCACGUUUAUGAAACCACCAUAUAAAGAAAAACAACUAGUUUGAAAGUUGAAAUUACAAAUUUAUAUAGUGUGAGAUUAUUUCAACCUACUAAAAUAUUUGUUAUUUUAAAGGCUAAUGAGCUUGCGGCUUUGAAAAGGUUGGAAUGUUAUUUGGUUGGAGAGGGACUCGGUUUCAACUUUAGCUUGUCUUACAAGUACCAAAUUCAAGCCGCCGUAGCAUCUGCAUAUCAUAUAAUUGAAUUGUUUGAGAUUUAUUCGUGGAAUACACUUUGCUAGUUUACACAUCUAGAGAGAGGGGAUUCAGUGGCUGGUAGUCUUGCAAAUUUGGAGUUAAAUCUUAAUGCUCAUAAUUGGUGGGAUAAUCCUCCUAUUUCAAUUCGUCAGAGUUUGCAUGAGUAUGCUUGGGAUAUCCCUAAAUAUCAUUUCAAAUGAGUGUUUUUGCAUUCUUUCUUCUCCUUCUUUCCUUAAUAAAAUUGAGUAUCAUAAAAACAAAAACUACCAGAAUGCUUAAUAAAUGUAUUUAUUCAAUAAAUUCAUUUAAAAAAUUAAAUUAUUUUAUUUUAUUUUACCAACCAAUUUUUAGUAUUCAAUAUGUCCUUAUUUGAAAUUCACAUAAUUCUUUCAUCUUUCUCUUUCAAGACUUUUAGGCUUUUAAGGCUUUUUACAUUCGUGUCUCCCUAAUAUUCUAUUUUUCACUAUUUCAUAAGCACAUCUUUCUUUAAAAUUGUGGGCAUACUAUAUAAUUUACGUAUGUACGUAAAUUAUAAAUAAAUAGAUUUUUAAACGAUAUGAUUACCUAAGGUGCCAUAAGCAAAAUGUUACCUGAGGUAAAUGCGGCAGCCCUACAAAAACAGAGGUGAUGUCUUACCCGUCUUUUGAACCAAUUCUGAAGCUCCUGAGAACAUGGAAACGCUGUGGCUUCAGAAAUUGCUUAUUUUAUUUGCAAAUAUUUCCACCUGUGAAUCCUGAUUCCUGAUACCGUGGAAAUUUGUGUGGGCUCGAUAUACCACCUUAUUACGUCAAGGUAGUGCAUUCGAACAAUAAAAGUUUAUUAUUUUGAUAGGUUUAGUAGGUUUAACGUGGGACCCCACUUAUUUAAUUAAAAAAUAAUAGAUAUAAAAAGUAAUAGUACUACUUCAUCACCGACUGAAUUAAAAAAUAAUGAAUCUUACUUCAAUUGUCUUUUUUUUUUUAAUGAGAAUUAUUGCUCAUGAUGAUAUUUACAAUCAUAUAUAUACUAAGACUCGUUUACAUCAAUUCUGAUAUAGCACCGCUCAGAUUUUUAACCCUCUCAAAUAUUCGAGGGACGUCAACUCUCAUCCUGGGAGAAAGACUGCCUUCAUUAAGCUCUAGGGCUCCAAAGAAGGAAAUUGAAAUUAAAUCCCAACAAUGCGUUUGCGGAAGCUCGAACCACUUCUCUCACAUUUGUGAGGGAGUGACUCUGACCACUUGGGCUUAGCCCAAGUGGUUUUACUUCAAUUGUCUUUGGGACUUAACUAUCGUGGACAGACCGUGGAAGUCUACCUCCUUAUUUUUAAGUACAAAUUAAAGAAUGAAUUGUACUUACUAACAAGCCGAAAUCAUUUAUUGCACAGCUAAAUAUAUUUUAGAUGGUAUAAACGACCAGCAAUAUAUUGCCAGUUGGGUGCACAUACAAGAUCAUAUUUGGCUUAAGUAUUAUAAAUUAGGAUAAUGCCUAAGAUUUAAACCUAAGUUCGGAGAAUGUCUAAUCACAAAACACAUUUUUUUCUUUAAGGAGAACUAUUGCUUUUUAACUCUCUCAAAUAUUCGAGGGAUGCCAACUCCCCUUUUGAAAAAAAAAACUGUCUUCGCUCAAGCUCUGAAGCUCCAAGAAAGAAAAUUUAAAUUAAACCCCCUACAAUAGGUCUGCAGGGACUCGAACUACUUCGAGCACUUGUGAGAGAGUAGCUCUAACCACUUAGGCCAAGCCCUAGUGGUUCACAAAACACAAUUAUAAACACUAUAAAAUCUAAAAUUGAAAGGAGAAUAAAAGAUUCUACACAUUAAAGUCCUAUGAAAAACUAUAAAAAUUUUAAGGGACUAGCCUACCCGUCUUAGUUAUUAUAAAUAAAAACUACCUUCUAAUCAAAAGAAAAAUCCAGUACAGUGCCUGCAACAACGACAUACACUACCACUAGUACCACUAAACUAUUACCAACGUCACAAAACAACUCAAAUAUGAAUAUACAUCUCAAACAAUCACUGUUAUUCUACAAAAAUAGAGUAAAUCAUCGGCGGUUUAAUUAACAUUUAUUAAGGGCUCAAAUAAUAUUUUACAAAGGCUAUAAAGAGAGAAAAUUUUCCAUUGGGGGACUUUAGUCACUUGAGUCCCUUUAGGGCUUGAGAGUAAAACAAACAGCCAAGACAAUAUAUAAUAACAAAAUGAAUGAUUAGAAGAGUCUAUGAAUAAUAAAGCCUCGUAAGCAUUGUGGAAAAUUUACUGGGAUAUUUAUCCAUUUUCAUUGGCAACAGGUCAAUAAUACAACUGGCAACUUCACUCACAAAAUGCGAAAAUCCAAUUCAAUAACCAGUUAACCACAAAGUAAUGGACUUGCAUGCCACAUUUCAAGUAUAUGAAGCAUAUAUAUUAGAAAAGUUGACAAAACCCAAAUUAUCACUUAAUUAAUUGGCAUUUAACCCCUCUCAAACUACAAGGGGGGAAAAAAGAACUUACAAAUGUGCAUGUGAAGAUUGUUUAUCUGGGCUCAUUUUGGCAAAGUCAUCUUCGUCAAUUCGAUCUGUUUUGAUUUUGGGCUUUCUAAUUAUAUAGCCAGUUUGAGCUUCUAACAUCCCUUUAAAAUUCUUGUGAAGUCCUACUGUUGCAUUUGUAACACUUGCUUUUAAGAAAUUAUUUAAAAAGACAGAAUAAUAUGAUAGAGUUAAUUAAAAUUUAACAUACUUUUUUAAAAUAAAAAAUCUAUCAUUAGGUAAUUUAUUUCUUCAUUGUCUCAAAAUUAUUUGAGUUUGCAUAAGAAAUUUAUUAUAUCAUAAAUUAGGAUUGGUGAUUAUAUAGCCACAAACUCUUGUACAAACUUAUCUUGUACAAAUUGAUUUGACAUUAAUUCAUUGGUUGAAUGAAAACAUAAAAUAAUAAAAAUAAAUCAUGUGGGUCAAGAAAUAUUUAAUUCAACCAAUUUUAUCAUACCACAUCAGUUUAUAUAAAAUAAAUUUAUAGAAGAGUUUAUGGCUAUAUUAUUACUCAUUAGGAUUUAAAGAUGGGAUAGUUCAUAAUUAGCAGGUAUAAAGAUAUUUUAAUCUAGUUAAAUUCAUAAUUGUCCUUCUCUAGCAGUAGAACUAUGUUCACAAAAAAUGCGGAUUUACAAGGAUUUUAAAGGGGUGUGAAAAGCAGUAAUUACUCUUACACGACAUCACCCAAAUAAUCAAUUCAAACGCACUCGGCUAGAUUUGUUCCAAGAUUAGACCUUUUGACACCCCUCAAAAUUCCUCAUAAAACCCCUUGUUAAUAGAAGUUAGUUAAAUAACCAAAGAUAAAUUAAUUCAUUUCUUACUUUAACUAGAAAUCCAAUUAAACAAUUAAAAAAUUUCUAUUAAAUUUUUUUUCACCCAUCCCAUUUCAUAAUUUAUAUUUAUAUUUAUAUUUUAGUUUUUAAUUUUUUUAAAACUUAUAAGAGUUUAGAAUUAUGGAGAUAGAAACUAUAUAAUAAAAAGAAAAUAAUUUAAAUUUUAAGAAAUUUUAGUAUUUUAUAAAUAAAACUUAAAAGAAAUAUUCAUUUAGAGUUGGUAAGAUAAUUGAUUUUAAUAUAUGAAUUUGUAUUUUAUAAAUUAAACUGUGAUAUUUUAAAAAAUAAAUUUAAAAGAAUAUUAUAAGAAUUUUAACGAAGUGUUAAAAACUCCACCCUUAUCUCAAAGAGUUAGUAUGCAAAAGUAAAAACAUAAGCAAUACCCGUUAACACCAUUGGACCUUUGACCUGGUGAUAAAGAACCUAUUGGGGGCACAGGUUCAAGUUUUUGUUUUAUUUAUCCAAAUUGAGUGAAAGUAACAUCAUUGAAUCCUAUAUUACAUAACUGCAAAAUCAUAGAACUAAAAAAUUUCGAAUUAAUUCAAACAAAUAAUACAAGGGCAAUCUAGAAAUCAUAUUAUCUUGAACUAUUACUUUAUCAACUUUAAAUGAAUACUGCAACUUAAGUCCAAAAUCAGUACCAAUAAAUGAGACAUGGACAGCCUUAUUAUGCUGCUCUUGUUCUGUUUUCAGCAUAAAAAGCCAAUUCUGCUGUUCUUAAACUGUUUCUCAACAAGAUGGAACAUGAAGUUGUAUUCAAUGACACAUGGACAUUUCAUGAUUAUAAAAAAAUCUAUUUACUUCAGCUAACCUCAAGGAAAUAAUCUAGUAUUGUAGUCAGUGAUGCAUAGAAUAUAUUAAAUGAGAACAUAUUUUUCCAUAACAACGAAAAAGGAAUUGCUAUUAGAGCAGAGUACAUCAAACGGAAAGAUUACUCACAGUGAACACUGGAACUUGUGUGCCUUGCCUUCAAUUCUUUUCAAUUUAGAUUUGUUCAAGAAUGUGCAAUUGGUAUCAGCAACUUUGGGUUAUAAGAAUAGAGACAGCAAACAACUAUCAAAAAAAAAAAAUGUGGAACUUAGUUUGAAGAAAUAUUGUGGAUCAUAUCAAAUGCCAAAUGUUGGAUAAUCUUUUCCAAAUGUUGGAUAACAAGAAAAGGGAUGCACACAAGACCGCUGACUGAAAACAGAAAUAAUUGGACAAAUAAAGCCCAAACCACAGCUCAUCCUAAUCUUUAUGUUACUAAUGGAAGCUAAAAGCACAUAAGUCAUCAACUAUUUACAUUUUCUGAUAGAUACGGAUGCUUAAUACAUUCAUCAUGAUAUCCAGAAACAAUAAAAUUAAGCUAGUACAAAGAUAUCUAAAUGAAGAUGAUAAUAUCAUAGGCAAAAUAUGGUCCAAUGGAUUAGGAAAAUCAAGCUAAGGUCAUUUUUUUAUACUAAAUGCUUAAUUAAAAAGACAUCAUUAUAUGUUUUAUACAUGCACAAAUUGUCAUUAUUUGAGGCAUGUCUAAUAUUUAGUGGAGUGACAAAUAUACUUGAAAAUUUAUAAAAAUUAUCAAAUAAUAUGUAAGAAAUAUAGUUAUUUUUGUUGUAAUAUUAAUGCAAUAAAUUUUUAUCGUAUCAUAUCGGCAUGUUUAAAGAGGGAAAAAAAAAACUCAGAGACUCAAAAACUCCAAACUUUAAUGUAUAGCUGGCAUUUAUUUGUAGGCUCAAUUGAAGUACAGAAGUCACAAUUCCAAACAACAAACAAGCUAUCAUCACUAAUCCACCAAAUUGGAAAACAUCCUCAAUUAAAUUAACCACCGCGCCUUUCCAGCUUAAGUUUUUCCAACGCUGAUAGUCCUUCUGUUGAGGAUUGGUUAUUGUAAAUAUCUUUUAAAGUAAUUGCAGGAUAGAGCGUAGGAUUUUCUUCGGAUAGCAACUCUUUAAUUGGACCAUAUCGUCUCGAGCAACUGUUGUUCAUAAAAAAACUUCCGAUUGAAAUCCUUGAGCCUUCCUUUUUUGACAACACUCUGUGAUAGGCACUUUUGAACUUGUCAUUGGUGAUUAGCUGCAUAAACACACAAUAAAAAAAUCCACUAUAAUUAAGUUACAUGAUGGAUUAAUAAUAGUCAAAGUGAUACAUAACAUGUACCUGCCUGCAUCAUGUAACCUAAGUUUACAACUAGAGCUCCGGGAACAGGGGUAAUUACGAUCUGUAGUUUCCUAAUUUAACUCAUGUAUGCCCGAGGCUUUUGUUUACCCUAGUUUUUAGUAUAAAAAGAGGCGCCCAUCACAUAAUACGGCGGCAAGGAAUUAUCAUUAGAAAAAUUGGAGAGAAAAAGAAGAAGAAGAUCAUAAUUCAAGGGAACGGCUGCAGCAUCAUUGAAGAAUCCAGCAGAGUUAUUUGGAUUCACUUUUUGCUGUUCUCGACUUAUACCUUUCUUCUUUCUCUAACUGAUCUAAUGUAUUUCAUGAACAAUAUGUUGCUGAUUGUUUAUCUCUUUCAGAAUAUGAACUAAAUUUGCUUGUAUUUGAGUGACAAAUAAUCUAAUGGGUUCUUGACUGUUCUUAUGAGUUGCUAUGUCAUUGUUGUAGCAUUUUACUCUAGUAGCUAUUAUUAUAACUGUUAUUUUGGUUGACCACUCAUUUAAUGGUUCAAGUUAAGAUAGGACUGUAAAAGGGCAUGUCUUAGUGGAUAUUAUUAGAGUAAUACUUGAUCUUAGUUUAAGUUUCCUAUAUUAAGUUUAUCUUGAAUCCCAUAAGGACCAUACUUGAAGUUAAGAUUUGUGAUAAACUAGACAUAAGUAUUCACCUUGUAGGGUGGAGAGAAUGGAUGUUCAUAAUGUCAUGCCAUAGGUAAAAUAGCAACUGGUCAUUGCGAAGAUGUUUACGGGUAUGAGACUUCCAAUAUGCGAUAGCUGAGGAUGCAAAUUAAAUUCUACCAAGUGCUAUAGAAAUUGCUGUAGCAACUGGUGUUAACUUGAUGAAAAGCAGUCAGCCUAUAAAGAAAGUUUGAUCAUUCAACUACCUUAUUCUCAUUUGAUUCUUCGACGCAUUUUAUUUAAUUUGUUUCAUUACUGCAUUGUUUAACUUUAUUAUCUCACAAUUAUCAAUUUCACUAGUAACCAACUUUACAUUUGUUAAUUUAGGAAUCAAGUUAGAUUAUACUAUCGUGAUUGUUGUAGCAUUUCUAGUAAUAUCAAUCCAUGUGGAGACGAUCUUGAAUAUUAAUCACGUUAUUACUUGUUGUGUAUACUUGCACAUUAGCAUAAAUAGAAUUUGAUAAAAAAUACCAACAAUGAGAUAGGGGUAAACUUCAGGAUGUGUUGCCGUUUUUAAUUGUUGUGUAGAUUCUUUUGAUUCCUAUCUCUAGUGGAGAACCAGAUGUGAUUUUGUGGGACCUUUCUCCUGAUGGUAGUUUUUCUUUGAAGACAACUUCAAAUAUUGUGCAUUGGACAAUGCCAAGUGAUGAGGCUUUUUUUGUUAUUUGGCAGCGACAUAUCUUUUCUUGGAUAUCUUUUUUUCUCUAGAGGUUGUGACACAAAUUCUUGACCACAGAUGAUGCCUCAUGUUCGGGGGAUUUCUGCAUAGUUUCUUAGUAUCUUUGUAGUUGGGCUUAUGAGACUUCUAGGUAUUUUCUUUCUUGAUUGCCCUCGAUUUGCGCUAUGUUGCUUUUUUGUUCCCUCGUACUUUAUUUCUUAAUUGGUAGUGAUGUGCCCUUUCUUGGAGCCAUAUUCGAGUUCUUCUUCCUUGUUUCAUUUUGUGGCGAGUUUAGAAGGCCUGUAAUGCAUUGAAGUUUGACUCAAUGGCCUUUUUUGUUGAUGUUGUUAUUUAUCGGGCAAUGUUGGAUCUUAGGCUUGCCGAUUCUGCCUUUGGUCUUAAACCAUCCCAACUGUAAGGAGUUCUAGGUUCUCGAUUUGCAAAGUGCUUGAGAGUUGUUGUUUCAUCCAGGAGGCUGAUUCUUUUAGUUUUUUGGUUGUGGUCACCACCUGGGGUGGUGAAGCUGACUAUUGAUGGUUGCUUUAGGAGUAAUCCUAGGAUGGCUGCUUCAGAUAGUAUUUUACGUGAUGAUUAGGCUGUGGCUUUGGCUGCUUUUGGUUCCUUCCUUGGGCGCUGACUGAUCUUUCAUGCAGAAUUCAUGGCUGUUUUUGAGGGGUUAGAGUUGGUGCUUAGCUCCAUUAUUCUGUGCUUGACGUAGAGUCGGACUCAGCCAUGGUGGCUUCUUGGAUUCUUUUCUAAGGCCUUGUUCAUACAGACUAUACCUAUUCUUUGCGUCGAGUGUGUACUUUGACAUUUUCUUCUACUUCAUGGUUAGUCAUGUGCUUCGAAAUGCUACUUCUACUGCUGAUUUCUUUAGCCUACACUCUUCAAGUUCAUCGGCGUUUCUUGGGUUCUCAAGAUAUCUCUGCUGGCUUAUCUAAUAAUCUUCGUUUGAAUUGUGGGUAAUUUAACAUAUCAGGCAAUAUAAUUGCUUAUUUUUGUGUUCUAUUUUUUAUCUUGUAUUUUUCACUUUUUCAUUCUUAUGUUCUUGCAAUUGCGGUUUUGAUUUAUAUUCACCUCCUUAUAUAUUUAAUUCAUUCUAUGAUUUAUAUGAAAGAUAGGGGUCCCACCUAAUCCUACCUUUUUGGUGGUUAAAAAAAAAAAGAUUAGGAAUCAAACCUAGGUCAUCAAGGUGAAACAUCAAUCAGGUUGUAAAUUUAACAUAUGAACGUAAAAGCUUAACAAAACAUUUGAAGUUGCUUGACAGCAUAGAAAUACAAGAAAAAAGAGAUGCUAAACAACACAAAAUUUUGAUUGGGUGGGAGUAUUGUUCAUGCUAGCAUAAUAAUGAGUGCCUGAGAAUACCUAUGACUUUCUUGAUAAAUAAUACCAUCUAAAAGGUUAGGAAUCACAGAUGAUUGUCCACGUAUGAACAAAUCUGGCUCCAAAUGUGAAAUGUAUUAAGAUUUUCAAACAUUUAAAUUAAUAGUUAAUAAUUUCGGACAAAGGAUACUUGGAGACCCUAAAGUUCACUGAUUCUAUGUUAUGGCUCAUUGUCUCGCUCAACAAUUUAAUUUCUAGAUUAUUUGGCUCCUAUCUAUUAAAAGACAACACCGUUACUAAAAUUAUAAAUUAUAACAGUUAAACCUAAACCUACGUCGUUUAGCAAUUUACAAAAGAAAAAAAUAUAACAAAAGCCAAUUGUUGGAGUAGCAACGUGCCAACGAGAAAAUCUCAAGCCAUGUAAUAUCCUGUGUCAACAACUAAAGAAGAACAAACCACCACCCUCUAGGCCGUCGCUGCACUAACGCUGGGCCCGAUUUGAAUAGUUAGAAGUUGUAACAUUAAUUAGGGAUUGAGGGUAAAAUUUUGGACUUUGAUUUAAUAAAAUUUAUUUAAAUGAGUCCCAAUAGAAAUAUGAUAAUAAAUAUAUCAAUACAAUUAUAAUAUGUUUAAAAGAAAAAAUUUAUUUUCACACAACAAAAAACACAACCCUUGGAUGUGGGAUGUGUCUAAAAAAUAAUAGGGUGGAAAUAUUAUCACCCUCAAAUUAGAUAUAUAAAUGUUUAAUGUUUUACUCUUAUAAUUUUCUAUUUAUUUUUUUGAAUAUUGUUAAGAGAAAGAUAGAAGUUAAUAUAUAGACAAAUCGAGUCCCUUAUUUUAUUAUUCAUAUCCAUAAAAAGUAACCACUAUGCUAGUCCCCCGAACUUAGCAUAAGACGGUAAUUUAAAAAAAGAAAAAAAAAAGAACGAUUCUAGACACCAAAACAAAAGCAAAACAAACACAAAGCGAGACAUACAAACAAAUUUUAUGCUACUGCAUUCAAGCAGAAGCCAUCAACUGUUCACGACGAAGUUUGAGAGCAACCAAUAGUUCAUCCCGAUUAGGAAGAUUUUCUUCAAUCACAGGGACUUGCUUGAAAGUUUCAAUCCAGGCAUGCAAGCGAGGGAAUUUGUGUGAUUCAAAUAGUUUAGCGCCCACUAUAUCUUCAAUGACUUGCAACCAAUAAACAAUUGAACCAAACGCUAGGUCCACUAAGCCAAUAUUGUCUCCAUUGAAAAAUUUCUUCUCUCCCAAGCCAUGCUCUUCAACGGUUUGUAGCAUUUCCAAGGCUUCCUUCAUUGUGUUUUGUAGUUCUUGUCCAGUGCUACGAAACAUUUUCCAAACAGCAACACCCUGCCACAAAUAUUUUACAUCUGAUUUUAUCACCGACAUGAUUAAUUAAUAAUAUGUAUAUAAAAGUGAAAUAUCGUUAGACAAUAUGCACACGUGUCACAAUAACCUUUAAUUAGAGGUUUAAUAAGUUAAUUAAGAGAGUUCAACCACUGAGUUCUAAAAUCUGUCAUUAGCUAGUAAAUUCACUUUUUCCCAAUGCUUCAAAAGUCAUCAAAAUUCCCCGUGAAGUUAAAAACGGUUGUGUUAACUUUAACUUAUUACAUCUUUUCAUAUUUAAGGAUAAAACAGUGAAGACACCAGAAAUUGAAAGUUUAGAGAACUUUUUACAAAUAAAUAUGAAAAAGACCCCUGGGUGGCUGGGCUCGACUGGCUAUGAAUUCACUUCCGCCAUCACCCGAGUUCGAGUAUAUAUGGAGAGUAAGAUUUAGUGUUUGGUGGGUGGAUUUCGUUAUCCUCGUCACCUCAUCUAGAUCUUAAAGUAAAUAAAUAAAUAAACACAUUUGAAAAGAAUGAACUUAAUCAUAAACGUGUUUGCCAGAGUUGUGAGAGAACCUUGUCUUCGGCGAAUUUAAUCCAGAAUCGAGCAAGAGCUCUAUCAUGAGGAUUAUUUGGCAUCAAGGGAUUCUGUGGCCACGUCUCUUCGAUGUAUUCGAGAAUAACCAUGGACUCACAAACUGGUUUUCCGCCAUGGACAAGCACUGGGAUCUUCUUGUGAACCGGAUUGUGCUUCAAAAGCAAAGCACUUUUGUUUGAGAGAUCUUCUGCAACAAAUUCAUAUGGCACGCCUUUCAAUUUCAGAGCCCAAAUCACCCUGUAAACAAAUGGACUCAGCAGGGUCCCAUGAAGCUUCACUUCAGCCAUGAUAAUUCUAAGAUUGAAUUUGAAUUAUCGGUUUUUGUGAUCGAUGUUGUGUAUGGCUGUUAACUCAUUACAUAUGUUUCUGAAUUUAUAGUGAUUUAUGGUAUGCACUUUCUUGAGCAGAAAGCUUCAAUUUUCCAUUAAUAAAACGAUUAAUGAUGAAUUCAAAGAACUGGUGCGAUGACUUUAAUUAAAUAUUUUUUUACGCUGUGCAACCGCAUUUUGAGGUUAAUUUAAAGGAUAUUAUUUUCUCCUGAUCAAAACUUUUAUAUAAAAAUAAUAAUUAUGUGAUUGGUAGUUAUUAAGUAAAAAUAAAAUAAAAAAUAAAUUUUGAACGUAAAUAAAUAAAAAUCAUAUAUGUUAUAAAGAUUUUUUAAAACUCAAAUAGGUGCACCCAAUUCCUAAUUUAAAACGCUAGCCAAUGAGAUCAAUAAUUUGGUCAACCAGUCAGAGAUAACCAUACAAUAAUUAAUCAAAAAUUUGCCAUUUGUUUUACAUUUAAGACCUUUGCGUCAUGCAUGAUGAUCAAUUGAUCAUGACAUGGAUCAAUUAGUCAACAAGACAUUUGCCUUUUGUGCAUGUAUCCACAUUGGACACAAAUAUAAUUUGUUAUAAAAAAAUUGGACUAAAUUAUUUUUUAAUAUAUUUUUUUAAAAUAAUACAUCUGAUCCUAGAGGGCCCGUUAUUUAGUUCGUAAAUCUUAUAACAGGACCCAUGAUUUUUUUUUUUAAAAAAAUCUUAUGGGUCCCCUAUUAUUUAAUUUGUGGAAUUGACGGAGGUAACUUACAAUUUCAUUUUUGUAAUUUACAGCUUUCAAUAAAUUCAGAUAAUAUUAGGUGGUAAAAGUCGGCCAGGCUGCAGGAGUAGAUCUAUAAAAUUUGCUAGUGUUGUGAAAAUUUUAAUGUACUCGCAAGCGCACGAAUCUAGAGAUAGAAUAGUGGUAACGAGGUCGAUCCCACAGGGAUUGUUAUAAAUUGAAAAGUCUAAUUUAAAUCUCAAAUUAAUAUUAAUUCUAACAUAGUUGACCAAAUUGAGUUUCUAAGAAAAUUAAACCAAUUAAACUAAGGAAACAAUUAAAGUAAAAGAGAAUUCAAUAAGAUAAAAAUUACCAAGGUUUCAGAAUCCACCACUAUUCAACUAGUAAUUACCUAAAUAUUCAUUAAUCCCCAAUUUUAGAGUGACAACUCGAAAUCAAUCUAUGUCAUCUCAUGGAUAUAACAAUUAAGUCCAAGUAAUUAAAUCUAAUGUAGGUUCUUUUUCUACUUAAUAGUAUGACAUCUAAGCAUCCCAUGUAAACAUAUUGAAUAACAAAGAGUCAAAGUUUCCAUAAGCACUCUAUGUAAACAAUUUAAUGAAAGACAUACAAUCAAAGACAAUCAUGUAUAAACUUUAUAGAUCCAAGCAUAGAUUUAAUCAAAUAUUAAUCCUAACAAUCAAUAAUGCAUGACAGAAUUGAUGAAAAGAUUUUAUUAACAUCCAAUUAAUCAUGUGAAAUAAAAAUCAUAAUCAUCAAAGAACAUAUAUAGGGAAUUAAUUAAAUAAAAAAAUAAUUAUUUCAUUGAAUAGGGUUUCAUCCUUAACCUCAGUAUAAGAACAUUAGCUAGACAUACUUGAAUUGGGAGCAACAAAAGAAAUAAAUGCAGCCAUGAAAGUCGAACUACUGCAGAUUUUCUUAUCCGUCUCGCGUUUUCCUCCUCUGGCGGCUCUCCCUUCUCCAAAAGCCAAAAGCUUACUUUUAUAAUCUUUGAAAUGGGCCCCACCUCUUAAAUCCUAAAGCCAAAAGGCUUGCCCUUUUAUUUGCUUUAGCUCUCACACGUGAUCACCAAUUAAACUUGCACUAGGAUUCCUUUUUCCAAUUGUAAAAGCCAAGUGUGGGCCCCUUUAAGUUGCUUUCCAUGCAUUACAAUGCUAUGCACGUGUAACUUAACUAAGCUAAAGCCAAUGUUAUGCUUAAAUUCUUCUUCAUGUGCUAGAUCAAUUAAUUUACUAGCUUCGGUUUCCUCGGCUUCACUUCCACAUGCAUGUAUGUCUAAUUGCUUCUGAAAUCAAUUAAUUAACGCUUCCAAAAUUUAGCUCCCUUAUGUCCUUUUUUAUCCAUAAUCUCCAAUUAAUCCCCUAUUCAAUAAAAUAAUUUAAUUAAUUAAAAAUAACAAAUAAAAAUAACUAGCAAUUAUAUAAUUAAGGGUAAAAUAUGUAUAUAAAUUAUGGUCAUCAACUAGCACUUUGCACUAUCUGUUUGGUGCCCAGAAACACACAUAUAUAUCAUCCACUUUUUAUUUAACGCUGGGUUUUUUUCGACCCAUAAUAAUUUCUCUUUCCACAUCAACUUUUUAAUAAAAACUUUUAUUGUCAAGAUAAAUUGUUAGUAAUUACUUCACUAAUCCUCCCUUUUUUUUGGGCCAAUUUCUCUUUCGCAACUGACAAAAUUUAAUUCACAUCAUGUGAUAGUAUGAUUGCAAAUAAAUUUGAAGUUAUCUCUCGCAAGUUGUUCAAAAAUACAUUGACAUAUCUUGUGUAUAGAACUAAAGAACAAUAGCAAAACCACUAUCCUCUAGCCGAUCGCUGCUAUUAGGACGGCAAAAUUAGUCGUAAAUAUGUAAAUUUGUCUAAACCCAUCUACAAAAAUCUGUCCACUGCGAAUAAUUUUGUAGGUUGCGGAUAAGUUUGAUAUUUUAAAUUUAAGUUCGUUGCAGAUUACGAAUGGAUUCAGUAUUGAGAAAAAAAUUGGCGGGUGUCUGCCGCUAGCAUUUUUUUAAUUAUUUAUGUUUUUAAUUUUAAUCACAAAGAUUGUCUUAAAAAAAAUUUAAUCAUAAAAAUAUAGUAGUUAAAGUUAUUACUCUAAUCUUCCAAAUUCCUAAACCUAACCUAACUCAUGACAGUUGCACACCCUACUCCUUCAAGUAUGUAUGUAUGUAAAUGUAUACACACGCCCACAAAAUUAGCUUUUAAUAAGUAGAUUUAGUAUUUUUCAAGUUUAAUAUUAAUGAUAUUUUAAUUUAAUUUAAUUACUUUUGUUUGUUUCGCUUUAAUGACUUGAACUUAGUAAUUGCUGGCUAAGAUUGGAUUUUUAUUUAUCUAAUUAAUGGUCAAUAGUUGUCCAAAAUAUAUUUGUUAAUAUUGUUGACAAUACUUAUAUAUUGACUAAAAGAUAGAGCAAGGCAUUAAUUUUAGUAAUAAUUAUUUGCCUACAACAAAAAUAUUUUGUGUUAGAAUGAUAUAUUUUGUGUAUUUGUUUUAAUAUUGAAACUUUAAUUUCUCUUUUACAUUGAUAAAAUCUAAAGUUGAGUAGUUUAUGUAGAUUUUUUAGUAUGUUACUAUAAAGUUAUAUUUUGAAUUAUAUAAUUUAAAUUAUUAAAUAUAAUUUUUUAAUAUUUAUGAUUUUAAAUAUAAAAAUUUAUUAAAAAAAAAAAACCAAUACAUGUUAUGGGUGGAUUUGCUAAUUAUUAAAAAUUAUAGCGAACGAACUUAAAAAAAAAAGAGGCAACCGGUUACGGGCGAAUUUAAUAAUGACAAACCCAUAAUAAGCGAUACCAUUACCAUCGGCAGCUUCUAUAACGCAGGGCCGGGGCGGUCUUGAAUUGUUAGAAGUUGCAACAUUAAUUAGCAAAAUAUUUAGCGGCAUCCCUGAAGUUUAGCAUAGAAUUAGAUAUAUCCCCAUGUUGUUUACUUAAUUUUUUUUUUUUUUUCAUUUCAAUUGGAUUUAUAACUUCGUAAUGUUGCGCCUUGUAAAAUGUAUGCUUAAAACGCGUGCUUCUUAUUUUUUAUAUACUGCUAAGAGAAUUUGAGAAUAGAAAUAUAUAAAAUGGUGUCUCAUUUAUUAAUUAUUUAUAUCCUCUAAAUAGCACCUAACAUGCAAGCUCACUUCAAUAGCAAAAUUAAUUAAACAAAAUAAAAAAAAAAGCAUUUUUAACACCAGUACAAAAACAUAUCGAGUGUAAAGGAAGACUCAUUAACUUAUUUUAUGAUAUUAAAUUCACGCAGAUACCAUCAAUGUUUCUCGACCACGUUUGAAAGAGACCACCAGCUCACGCUGAUUUGGAAGAUUUUCUUUAAGUAUAUAAGUGAAAAUUAUUACUCUAGUCUUCAAAAUUCUUAAACUUAAUCUAACUCAUUACAGCCGCAUGCCUUGCUCCUUUUAUUAUAUGUAUAUAUUUUACGAUGAAUACAAUAACUUUCAAUAAGAAGAAUUUUAUACUUUUCAAGCUUAAUAUUAAUGAUAAUUUAUUUUAUUUUAUUUUAAUUACUUUGAAUUGUUUUUGUUUAAUGACCUGAACAUAUUGGUUGUUUGCUAAAGUUGAAUUUUUAUUUGUCUAAUUAAUUGACGAUAGCAAUUGCAUAAAAUUUACUUAAAAAGAUAAAAUCUUAGUAGAUUACAGAAAGAUUUAGUAAUGACAAACAUGUAGCAGCCAAUACACAUUACCAUCCCCAACUGCUAUAAUGCAGGGCCAUGGGCAGUCUUAAUUGUUAGUAUGUGCAAAAUUAAUUAGUAAAAUGUUCAGCGGUAUCCUUGAAUUUUGGCAUAGAAUUAGAUAUAUCCCCUAGUUUUCAAAAUUAGUUUUUGAUUCCCCUGUUGUUUAGUUUAUAUAUAUAUAUAUAUAUAUAUAUAUUUCACUUGGAUAUAUAACUUUAUGUUGCGCCUUAUAAAAUGUAUGCUUAAAAUGCAUGCUUAUUACUUUUUAUAUGCUGUUAAGAGAAAUUAAGAAUAGAAAUAUGUAAAAUGGAGUUUCAUUUAUUAAUUAUUUAUAUCCAUUAAUUAGCACCCAACAUGUAGUUCGUCUCAAUAGUAAAAUUAAUUAAACGAAGCAGAAAGAUUUUUUUUAGCAUCAAUACAAAAAUAAAAAAAAGCACAAAGCGAGAAUCACAAACUUAUUUUAUGAUAUUACAUUCACGCAGAUGUCACCAAUGUUUCCCGACGACGUUUGAAAGCGAUCACCAUCUCAUGCUGAUUUGGAAGAUUUUCUUCAAUUACAGGUACUUUCCUGAAAUUUUCAAACCACUCAUGCAAGCUUGGGAAUUUGUGAGAUUCAAAUAGUUUCACUCCCAUUACAUCUUCAAGGACCUGCAACCAAUAAGCAAUGGCUCCAAAUGCUAGGUCCGCUAAGCCAAUAUUGUCUCCAUUGAAAAAUUUCUUCUCUCCUAGGCCAUGUUUUUCAACGGUUUGAAGCAUUUCCAAGGCUGCCUUCAUUGCAUUCUCCAGGUCUUGUCCAGUGCUGAAAAACAUUUUCCAAACAGCUACUCCCUGCCACAAGAUUUUAUAUCUAAUUCUUAUCACCACAUGAUUAAUAAUAUAUAUGAGGUAAAAAGAAAUUAGAUAAUAUGUACACACGCGUCAAAGUAUCUUUUAAAGCCUAGACGUUUCAAACUGUCAAAGUAUUUAGGAGAGUUUAUCCAUUAAUUUUUAGACUAGUUUAGUAUAACUUUUCAGAAUUUAUUUAAGUAGAAUUUUUAUUAGUAAAAUUUUAAUUUUUAUAAAAAAAUUAAUUAUUUAAUUGUUAAUGAAAUUUUUUUAAAAUUUUUAAAAUUAUUUUAAUAGACAAAUGUUUAAAGUUAUGUUAUGAAAUAAAUAAAAUAAGAUUAUAAAAUAAAUGAUGAAUAUUUUAAACAAUUUAACUUUUUAAAAAAUCCUCAACCCUCUAUUUCUAAAAGUAUAAAUUCAAACUUUUACUAAUAUAAGCAAAAAAAUUUAUUUAAUCCCAAAAAGCUCUACUAAAAAUAAAACUAAAAAAUAAUAAAAAUUUUGAAAAGAGUUUUUUUUAUUAAAUAAACAGGUAUGAGGAAUAAAUAAGUCAUAUCAAACAAAUACUUAAUGAAAAAAAGGAAAAAGAUAAAAAAAAAUCCUCUUAUUGUUUUAGUAAAUUAUAAUUUUACUUUCAUGUUUCAAAAGUCCUUAAAAUUCCUCUUGUCGCUAAAAUUAUAUUUUAAUAUUUUACCCUUGAUGCAGUAAAAUCCACGGUUAAUUAAGAAAAUUUUCUAAAGAUAAAAAAUUUAAAGUAAUUAACCGAUUUUUUUUUUAUAAUUCUCUAAUGUAAAAUAAAAGGUCCGUUGAGCUUCGUCGGCCGUGAAUGCAUUUUGCACAUGCGAGGACAUUAGUUUGAGCAUUAAUAGAAGAUAAAAAUUAAUGUUUAGAGAGUGCAUGUUUCUCAUAUACAAUGAAAAAUUAAAGUAUAUAAAGAAAUCCGACAAGAUUAAUUAAAUUUAUAAACGUGCUAGCAAGAAAAGUUGUGAUGCGAACCUUGUCUUCGGCAAAUUUAAUCCAAAAACGAGCUUGCGCUCUAUCAUAAGGAUCACUUGGCAUCAAGGAGGGAUUGUGUGGCCACAUCUCUUCAAUGUAUUCGAGAAUAACCAUGGACUCGCAAACUGGUUUUUCGCCAUGAACGAGCACUGGUAUCAUCUUGUGAACUGGGUUAUACUUCAAAAGCGAAGCACUUUUGUUGUAGAGAUCUUCUUCAAUGUAUUCAUACGGAAUGCCUUUCAAUUUCAGAGCCCAUACCACCUUGUUGCUAAAUGGACUCGCCCAUCCCCCGUGGAGCUUCACUUCAGCCAUGUGUCUGAGAUCGAAUUUGAAUAUGUUUGUGGUUGUUUUGCUUAGCUGAUGAGUUAUUGCAUACGUACAUCUGAAUUUAUAGUGAUUAAUGUUGGAAUGUCGAGUGCGCUUGCUUGAGCAGGGAGCUUCAUAUUUCCAAUUUAUUUAAUAAAACGAUUAAAUUAAGUUGAAUUCAAUGAGCUAAUGCUGCGACUUUUUAACAAUUCUGUUAUAUAUUCAACGAGAAGAGGUAUCGUAUUUGACGGGAAUCUCUUGAAACAGUGCUGAAUUAACAAGUAAUCUUAUUUAAUUUGGUCAACUGGUCAGAUAUGGAUUAAUGAUAUGUUUGGCGUUUGUUUUAGGUGCCCAGCUAGCCCUGCUGCUGUGUUUUUGACUUUACUAUGGGGUGGAGUCGUGGAGAUAUCAUCAUCCCAACUGAAGACAUAUUAUGAUAUCCUCCUGAAAACUUUGUGAGACUCAUUUACUUUACAAUUUUAGCAUUUUAGGCCCGAAAACUUCAUAUAUAUGACGUUUUGUCCCCCGGCUCCACCUCUUCUUUAUAAAUCCGAACACCUGAAAAAUGACGAGACCGGAACAACUCUCCGUCUUAAGUCUAUGCAAAUUUUACACACAAGAGAAAGAGAGGGAGAGGGGCGGUCACGAGAGACAACGAUACAGAAAAGAAUAUGGAAAAGAGUUUAUUAAUACCAAAAGAGAGUUUAUCAUCAACAUCCACAACAUGGGAUUUGUUGAGUGGAGAAGUGAAAAAGCAGGGUUACAUAGCAGCACCAAUGGUGGCUGUAACUUUAUCACAGUAUUUGCUUCAAGUUGUUUCCAUGAUGAUGGUUGGUCAUCUUGGUCAACUUGCUCUUUCUAGCACCGCCAUGGCCAUCUCUCUAGCUAGCGUUACCGGCUUCAGCGUCCUUGUGAGUCCUAUAAUCCAUAUAUGGUUAUAUACACAAUAUUGUUUAUUCUUUCUUUUGAUAGGUAUUUGCAUCAUUGCAUGUGGGAUUUAAACAAAUAGAUAUGUCAAAUUUCUGAUGUUAAAAAACAUGCAUUUAACUUAUACCCUGUUAGUAAAAAUGCCAUUAAUUUUUAAAGGACUUGAUUUGCUCUUUUUUUUUUUAAAAAAAAAAAAUAUAUAUAUAUAUAUAUUCUACAGCUAACUUGAAUUGUGUAAUAUUUUCUUUGAAACAGCUAGGAAUGGCAAGUGCUCUGGAAACAUUAUGUGGGCAAGCAUAUGGAGCUCAGCAGUAUCAAAGAAUUGGAACUCAAAUUUACACUGCAAUAUUUUGUUUAUUCUUAGUAUGUUUUCCGCUUUCCUUUCUAUGGAUUUACAUGGGAAGGCUGCUAGUUUUGGUGGGCCAAGGCCCCCAGAUUUCACAUGAAGUAGGCAAGUUUAUAAUCUGGCUUCUUCCAGCUCUGUUUGCUUAUGCAGCAAUGCGGGCGCUUAUUCGAUAUUUUCAGUCUCAAAGUUUGAUCAUUCCCAUGUUCUUAAGCUCCUAUGCCGCUCUUUGUUUGCAUAUUCCCAUCUGUUGGGGUUUGGUAUUCAAGUCUGGACUAGGGAAACUUGGAGGAACAUUGGCAAUUGGUAUAUCGUAUUGGUUGAAUCUAACUUUCUUGGCAAUUUACAUGAAGUUCUCCGCUGCUUGUGCAGCAUCCUGGGCUCCAAUUUCAAUGGAGUUGUUCCGAGGAAUUGGAGAGUUCUUCCACUUUGCUAUCCCUUCUGCAGUAAUGGUUUGGUAUGUUAAUUAUCCUCUGGAGUUUUAUUUUCCCCUCUCAUAGAUGUCGUAGACACGUCAUAAAUUUUCAUGCUUCUUCUUUUGUUUGUAAUUUUGCAGCCUAGAAUGGUGGUCAUUUGAAUUGCUCAUUUUAAUGUCAGGGCUGUUGCCUAACCCACAGCUUGAAACUUCAGUCCUAUCUGCAUGGUAUGUUGACAUAGACUUUGUAUGUCAAAGUUCUAUACAGAGAAGCACCUACCAAAGGAAAUAGAUUUUUUUCUUUUUUUUCCCGACUGCUCAUUAUUUGUCAACUUCUUUGGGCAGUCUCAGUACUAUUCAAACCCUCUCUGCAAUCCCAUAUGGACUUGGUGCUGCAGUGAGGUUUGUUCAUAACAAUCAUUUAAAUAAUAAUUGUUUUAUAUCAACUAAUUAGCAGAUUAACCAUUAUUUCCUUCUAUAGUACUAGAGUUUCAAAUGAACUAGGAGCUGGGAAUGUGCAAAGAGCCCGUGUAGCUGUCUAUGCUGUGGUCUUUAUGGCAGUCACGGAGACUAUCAUAGUAAGUGCAUCUCUCUUUGCCAGCCGGCGUGUUUUUGGUUAUGUUUUCAGCAAUGAGGGACAAGUUGUGGAUUAUGUCACAACCAUGGCUCCUCUGGUUUGUUUGUCUGUCAUCAUGGAUAGCUUACAAGGAGUCUUUUCAGGUUAAAUUAACUUCUUCAACUCUGUCAAUUGCUAAAUAGUUCUCUUUAAGUAGAAAUAAAAAUUUUCAGGUUUCUAAAUUCCUUUUAUUAUUUUUAAGGUGUUGCAAGAGGAUGUGGGUGGCAGAAUAUAGCUGCUUUUGUGAAUCUUGGGGCUUAUUAUUUGUGUGGAGUCCCAACUGCUGCCAUUUUGGGUUUCUGGUUAAAGUUUAGAGGAAGGGGCCUAUGGAUUGGGAUACAAGCUGGUGCUUUUACACAAACAGUUCUGCUUGGCAUCAUAACAACAUUUACAGAUUGGGAAAAACAGGUCUGUUUCUCAACAUUUAAUCCCUUAAAAAUUAGAGAAGCUUAUUGGACUAUAUAUGUAAAUAUGUAGCAAUUUUUUUUUUCCCAAUACGUAUCUGAUACCUUUUGACUGAAAGUUCAAGAUUAAAAUCACUCAGCUUGAUCUGAAAUGGUUAGCAUUAUCAUCUUAUGCAGAACUGGUUUUGCUCAUUGAGAAAAUGAUAUUCAAUAACACAAAUGCAAACUCAUUUGAAAAUUUUGCCAUUGAGAAAAUGAUAUUCAAUAACAGACAUGCAAACUCAUUUGAAAAUUUGCUUUUUUGCAAGAAUUAUAACCAUUUUCUAGUUUGUUAAUUGUUACAAGUUCUGUGUUUCUAAGGGGUUUCUCAUGUUGCAGGCAAGUAAAGCAAGGAAAAGAUUAUCAAAGGGAAGAUCUUUAGAGGAUAAUAGAAUAGUAUGUGAGUGAGCAGAGUCAAUCAAUGAGCUGAUAUAUACAUUUUCCAGUUGAAAGAGAUAAUCAUUGCUUGAGAAAAUGAGCUGAUCAUAAGUCAAUUGAUGGCCAAGAAGGUUCCCCAAUCUGAUCUACGGAGCAUCGCAUUUCAUAAAACUCUGUUUCUAGGAAAAAAAAAAAAAAUUAACAGCUUCUUAGGAUUGGAGCAUCAGGUGACUUAGCAUUUCCAGUAUGAAUGAAUUAUAAGAUAGAUGAUGCUGCAAAAAUGAAUAGAGAUCAAAUUAAGCAAGAGAAAAUAUUUGAAUGUUAUUAUUGAAACCUUCUCCAGUGAUUGUAGAGAUAAUUUUCUUUGGGUAAUUUUUAGGGACCUCCCCUGAGGUUUGGUGUAUUAACACCUAGAUGGAAUGUAUCCAUAUAAUUACAUAUACCUCCCCUGCCGUUAUUAUAAAAAUACGUAUAGCAUCAAAUAGAAAGGUAAAUGUGUAAAAAUAUAUUUAAAAUUAAAAUAUUUGCGUUCACCAAAUCAUUAAAAUUUUGACCCACUUGCCCGCUGUCGGCCCAAACUUGACCAGUCGGUCAUGGCUAGACCGGCGGCUGGUGGUGGUGCGCGACUGCCGGAGUCCUCUCCUCACACCAGUGACCAACCCCAUUCAUGGCAGCCUUUGAAUCAACUGCGUCCACCAACACACAUUAACCCAAGUACACGACAUUUUGAAGUCUCUUUUGCUUUGCGUUUUCCCUUCAUUGAGAAGAUUCGUCAGCUAAUAUAAUAAGCUUUGUUGCGUUAGAUUUAAGAUUACAGUGGCCUGAGCAGAUGUGGUUGUGAUGUGGGCUUUAUUGUAUUUGACUAAUAGGCAAAACACAUUUUAUUGGCCUACAAGGACGGUGCCUUUUUCUUCUUGUUGGGGAACUUCGUGAAGAAUCCAGCUUGCUUCUUUCUUCCUUUUCUUUCUUCAUUUUAAUUCAUUUUUUUAAUUUAUAAUAACUUUUUGAGAUUGAAUUAUUGGCUUCACGUGUAAAUGAAUGGUAUUUGGUAUGUCACAAGUGCAUAGUUAUUCUUUUUUUAUUUAUUCUUUCUGAUGUUUUUGUGUUGGAAAUAAUUUCUUAAGGUUUUGGCACCACUCCCCAUUGGAUUUGCUGUGUUCAUGGUACACUUGGCCACAAUCCCAAUCACUCGCACUAGAAUUAACCCUGCAAGGAGUCUCGAGGCUGCUGUUAUUUACAACAAGGACAAUGCCUGGGAUGACCAAUGGUUCUUCUGGGUGGUGGUGUUGGGAAAAUAUGCUCUUUAAAAACAUAUGUGUUUAUUUAAUUGUAAUAAACAAUUUUUCUGAUUAAUAAAAUAAAUGAGGUAUUUUAUUCAAAUAUCUUAAUUGCAUUAAUAUUUGUAUUAAAGUCCAUUUAAUCAUAUUAUAUGUAUUUAUGUGAUCACCAUGUGGAUUCACAGAAGACAUAAAUACAAGUUAUCUUAUGAUUAAAUAAAUUUAGUUCGCAGUUGAUAAAUAAAGUUGGGCACUUUAUUUAGGUAUAGACUGUAAUAAAUUCAUUGAAUGAUUUGUCUUAAUCAUGUAUGAAUUUAUUGAUGUAGUACGACUACAUUGAACAGGAUCACAUAUGAGAUUUAAUUAACUUUGUAAUAACUGUCAGAUUUAUUAAAUCUCAUAGGCAUUGAUUUUACUGUAAUCUUAAUCUUGAGUUAAUUAUGAUUUCAUGAUUGUAAUUGUUAUUCCAUUUGAGUUACCAAUGGGCACGACACAUACUUGUGGUCAAGAUUACCCGGUAUCUUGGUGGGAGCAAUUAUGAGUAUUGGAGUUAUGGAUUAACAAUAUAGAAUUUGUACAACACAUCUCUUGAUGGGUUUUCGGCACUUGAUCAUUGAAUUCUCUGGCCAGAGUGUGUCAAUAUAUUUAGUAUGUUGAAAAUGAUCAUUAGAGAAAACCAGUAAGGAUCAAGGAAAAAGAUGUUAUUAAAUUGAUUGGACAGUUGAGAUAUCAAUUUAAUUAACGAUGUGGUACAAAAGAUUGUGCAGUAAAGAAAUCAAUGUGGCUUGGGACGAAUUAUUAUUCGAGCAUACAAUUAUGGAAGUCAGUUCCAAUCUUUUAGUGGAGUAGAUUUGGAAUUAAAUAAUUGGGCUAGUUUAAUUACAGGCCUAAUUAUUGUAGCCACUAUUGUAUGUUCCCAAAUGAUCCCCGGGUUAGCUCAUUUAAUUGACUGCACCACUACUGGAUUAAUAAGUAAGAUAACUAGCUAUUUGGGUCAAAAGCCUAAAUAUAUCAUUUAGUGGAAGGCUCCAUUUAAUUAGCUUUUGUGUAAGGGGCCUUAUGUUAUUUUACAAGGUGGGUCCCCUAUUGAAAAAGAAAAUAACGUGGGUUUUGUUUUUUGAUUAUUUAGAGCCUAGGGUUUUCACUAAAGGGUGAUAUAAAAAGCUUAUUUUCUCUAAAGAAAAAAGAAGAAGCCACUUUAUACAGAUCAGAGAAUAAGAUUUUUCUCUCUAUUGUUGAGAGAAAAAUUUUCUCGUGCUAGUUGCUUUGGUAGUGAUAAAGGCGCCCACACGUCAAGUGCAGAUCGAACCUGAGUCAUAACCUGGAAGAUCAUUGGUGACAGUUCGUGAUCUAACAAGCGUGGUGGUGACGGAUCGUGAUCUAACAGGAGUGGUGGUGGCGGAUCGUGAUCUAGGAGCCUAAAUCACUUCAGCGGAAAAAGCCAACUCGGAUUUUCAAGGUACGAUUUCUAGAAUACAAUUUCUUAUAUAUUAUAUGAGAGCGAUCUUCAAAAGGUUUUAUAAGAAUUUAAAAACCUAAUUUUUCCCCAACAGGUGGUGCUUUGCCACUGCCGGAGUCCUCUUCUAACACCGGCGACCAACCCCAUUCAUGACGGACUUUGAAUCAACUUCGUCCACCAACACACACUAACCCAAGUAGGCUUUUGUCUCAUCACAACCCUCACACCCCCGCCGUCCCUUUGGCCAUCAUCGACGCCACGCAACAGCCGCUAACAUCCCCAUUAAAGUGGGUUCAAUGGAAUUCUCACUGCCAACAGAAUUCUUAAAGUUAUAUCUAAUAAUUUAUUAUUUCAGCAGGAAGGAUAUUUUAGUAAUUUUAAAUGUUUACUAACGGUCAACUCAAUUAUUAACUAACGGCAGGGGAGGUAUAUGUAAUUACAUGGAUAUAUUCCAUUUAGGUGUUAAUACACCAAACCUUAGGGGAGGUCCUUAAAAAUUACCCAAUUUUCUUUGUAUUGAAACUUUCAGCAUCUGAAAGAUAAGGAAAAUAUUAAAAGAAAAAAGAAAAUUCUUAAAUCUUUUCCAUGUCACUCCUGCAAAGUUGAAUUGUGAUUCUAAACCCUACACCAAAAUGUAAGGUGGCCUGUGGCCUAUGGGUAAUACACAAUUCGACAACCCCAUAUAUUUAGUAAUCUAGGUGGAUGCCAUUAAUUUUUUUUUUUUAAAUUUUUGUUCAUUUUUAAUGCAAACAACGCCUCUUUCAUUGUGGCAUUGGAAUAUAUAGAGAUUUGUCCACUGAUUUUGGACCAUAAUUCACAAAUAAUGCGACGCAUAUCUUUCUUUCAGUACUUCUUCAGGAGGAUAAGAUACAGACAUUGUUGUCUUUUUACCUGAAGAAAGUGCAUGCGCAUGAAUUGUUGUUGUCUGUUAAUCUGCUGGCACUUAGCUGCCAAACAACUUGAAAAAUAAACCAGGAAAAUUUUCAAUAAGCAAAGCCAAACAACUAACCCCUGUUUUAAGUUAUUUUCCUAAGAAAACUUUUAAACACUCAAAUAAAGCACAUAAGUAAAGUAUUUCUGUCACAUUAGCUUUCGAGUGAGGUUUGAUUUACAUUUAUAUCAUAUAUACGGUAUACCAAGUGUUUUUUAUUCUUUUAAUUAACGUAUAUUACAGCUUGGAAAUUCUAAAAAUUGAUCGUGCUUAAUCUUGAGCAACAAUAUCUGUAAUCAUCAUACGAGGUCAAAAGUGAGGGAAAAAAAAGGAAAAGAAAAAGGAAAGAGUUAGUUUUAUGUAUAAAAGUGAAAGGAUCUGUUAUAGACUAUUUCUGUUGCAUGGUUUUCGGAGGCAUAGCAUUGUCCACAGCAUUUGGGCUUUGCUUCUGAUUCAAUGGCAUUUAGAAUUUGGUUUCAUCUGAGAUCAUAUAUAGCUUGAUCCUGAUAUCUUCCAUUUUGGAGGGAUUCAGUUAAAUUGAAGAAGUUUGAUGUUCCAGUUCAAAUUGGGAUUGCUGCAGAUAAUAUAUAUAAUUCUGUAGAGGUUUUCUAAUUUUUAUUUUUAGUAAUGUAUUCAUGUCCUGUCAUUCUUCUUUCUGCUUAAAUCCAAUUGCCCAUGUUGGAAUUUCUUUUCAGCUUUUGUAUUCUUUUUCCUUUUUGUUCAAUAAUGCUAUAGACGAUGCUCUACCAUUUAAAAGAUAUAAAUAAAAAAUUUUAUAAAUUUUUACUUCGUCAAGGUGUGAAACCUUAUAAAAUUUAUAAAUUUAACUUAUGAACAGAGAAGCAUAAAAAAAUGUUUGGAGUUGCUUAAUACCAUAGAAACAAAAGCAGAAAGAUAUGUUCAAGAACAAAACCCAAAAAUUUUCAUCAAGUGGGGCAUCGAUCAUGCCAGCAUAAUAACAUAAUUACAUAAUGCUCGAAGAGCACGCAUGACUUUCUCAAAAAAUAAUAUCACUUAAAUGAUCAAAAAACAGAAAUAAUUAAUUGAUUAUCCAUAUAUAUAAACAAGCCUAGCUCUCAAUGUGAAAUAUAUUAAAACAGCAACUAUAAGAUUUUCGGUGAUGAUAUUUCCACCCCAUAAAUUUUAUAAACCCACCCAUUUUUUAAAAAAUUAUUAUAAUAAGUUCACAUUAUUUUUUAAAAAUUUAAAUUAAGAAGAAAUUAAAAAAUUAAUCAAUUAAAUAUAUAUUCAUUUCUUCUUCUUUUUUUUAACUAUGUUUCUUUAUUAUAUUUCAUCAAUAAGGUUGCUUUAACAUAAAUUAAUAUGACUAUUUACCCUUAUAAGGUAAAAGUACCAAAAUAUCUAAAAAUUCACUUUAACUUUAAUAAAAUUUUAUGCAAUUUUUUUUUUAUAUUUUAAUGAUAUAUAAGUAAUUGUUAGUACAAUUAUUAUUACUCCACUAAACUAACAAAAUAUAAUUAGGACAUGUGGUGGAAUGAAAAUAAUUAAAUUUUAUAUAAAAACCUAAGCAAUUAGUUACGAUAAAUAUAUAUAGUAAUUUGGUUAUUUUAUAUUAUAAGGGUAAAGUAGUCAAAUUAAAUUUAUCUUGAGGCAACCUUCAAAAGUUAAAGAUUGUCAAAAGCUUAAGUCCAAAAAAAAAAAAAAAAUAUAUUAUAAAAUUGAUUUAAUUAAUUAAUUAUUCAAAGCUUUUAUUAAUUUGUAAUUUUAUAAAAUAAUGUAAAUUUAUUGUAAUUAUUUUAUGGAGGUGGAGGGGGUUUAUAAAAAUAGUGGGGUGGAAAUAUUCACACCCUUCAAUUAAUAGUUAGGAUAAUUUUUAGAUAUUUCUCCUAAAGUUUGGCUUUGCUACACUUUUAGAUCAUUUUUAGAGAGAAUGUAUCUAUAUAUUGACAAGAGUUAUGAUACAACUAUAAAUUUUUAUACAAACUUAUCUUGUACAAAAUAAUUUUUUAUUAAUUCAUUAGUUGAAUAAAAAUAUAUCAUGUGAGUCAAGAGAUUUAAUUCAAAUAAUUUUAUCAUAUCACAUUAAUUUAUACAAAAUAAAUUUAUAUAAAAAUUUAUAAUUAUAUUAUUAUCGUAUUGAUAAUAUGCCCCUUGUCCGUGUAUAAGGGUUGGGCACUGAUUAAGUAGUUGCAGUUUUCUUUUAAAAAAAUCUUACAAAAGCUAUUAUACUGUAACUAAUCAGCUAGUGAAACCCGAGGGGAUAGUAACCCAUUUUCAUUGUCAAUGCCUAGCUUCAUUUUUUUUUUUCUUUUUUUUCUCACUUGAUGAGUGCUUAGCUUCAUGUCGAAGGUCGUGACACCAACUGAUUUUAGCAAAAGCAGAGAUACUUUGUGAUGCAGUAAGCUAACAAUUUUCUGAAAUCAACUAUGUUUUGAACCAAAUUUCGGCGACGACCAGCAGCUGAAAAGCCGGUGAUUAAAGGGCACACUAGGUGCGUAAUUCUAUCAAAGCUUAAAACUGAAGUUAGGUUUUAUUAUUUUCUUGCAUUUUGUUGAAAUUGCUGUUAGUUAGGUGCUUUAUUCUUUGUUCCGAUUAAUUGAGAAAAAUGUUUAGGGUUUAUAGAAAUUGAAGUAGUGACCGAAUAUAUCUGAAUUGAUUUUUGAGUUGAUAGUCACUCGAAAUGUUGUGUAAACCAUGAAAAUGAAUUUUUUUUUUUUUAUGAUUUUGGACUGUGGGUUUUGAAUGCUUACUGAAAUUUGCUUGAUAUGUUCUUUAAAUUGAGAAAAAUCCAAGCUUCUUCUAAGAAUACAGAGGUGUUGCUGAGAAAAUGCUUAUGGUGUUGUUUUGUUUCUUUUUUUAUUUUACAAGUGGGCAGUUCAUGAAAUUUGCUUGAUAUGUUCUUUAAAUUGAGAAAAAUCCAAGCUUCUUCUAAGAAUGCAGAGGUGUUGCUGAGAAAAUGCUUAUGGUGUUGUUUUGUUUCUUUUUUUCUUUUACAAGUGGGCAGUUCACGAAAUUUGCUUGAUAUGUUCUUUAAAUUGAGAAAAAUCCAAGCUUCUUCUAAGAAUGCAGAGGUGUUGCUGAGAAAAUGCUUAUGGUGUUGUUUUGUUUCUUUUUUUCUUUUACAAGUGGGCAGUUCAUGAAAUUUGCUUGAUAUGUUCUUUAAAUUGAGAAAAAUCCAAGCUUCUUCUAAGAAUGCAGAGGUGUUGCUGAGAAAAUGCUUAUGGUGUUGUUUUGUUUCUUUUUUUAUUUUACAAGUGGGCAGUUCAUGUAAGAUUGAGACAGUUGCUCUUGUUGCUUUUUGAUGUUUUGUAUAGACUGAUUCCAAUCACUGAUUUCUGUUGGUAAAUGGAUGCUAUUUUUUUUUUUUUCCUUUUCUUCACAUAAAAAUUUGUACUUCCCAACAUAAAAUUCAGGUGCUUGCCUAUUGUUUUUUGAGUUUGUCAUUAAGGUGUAAGAGAUAAAUUAAUUAUAGAGCUUGUGGGCGGUUGGUUUAUUGUACAGUUGAGAAAGUGUCUUUUGGGACAUCCAUUUUAAUACACAGAUUAACAGAUUUAAUUACAUAAACACAAGACUUCAUUUGUUUAUCAAAGUAGUACUUCUGAUGCUUUCGUAAUGAAUGCCAAAGAGAUGACAUUUGCAAAAAGGCCAUUUGAAUGUACCAAUUGCUAUCCUUGUAAACCUCUAUUGUGAUUCUGUUAUCAUUAUAUGUUGUUUAAUGAUCUGAUGAUUUCGAGAUAUCAAGAUGAGUUUAUGGUAGUACAUGUUCAUUUAGCUACUUUAGGUACUAAUACAUGCAUUUAUUGUGUAAUGCCUACUUAGCAGCAAUAACUACACUCAUUGUUGAAGCUACAGCAACACAAAUGAGAAAAAACAUGCUGAGGAACAACAUUGUCUUUAUAUCAUUCCAUUUUACUCUAUUUUGUUGUGCUUUUUGCAUCAGUGACUUCAAAUCCAUCAUAUCCUUUUGCAUACUCAUCAGCAGUUCAUAAUUUGCUUGACAUGUUCCUAAACCAUCAAAUAUAACACCUCGAUCGAUAUCAUUUGAGGAUGGCAUCCAAAACUUGAAAUAGCCACAACCAUUUUUGCUAUCCAUACAGCAAUAACAUAGCUUGUUUGGGUUGUCAUCUGAUUCCGCUACCUUCAUAGCAGCUCUUUUGUAGCAUUUACAAAUCUUGUUUGAAAAUCGAAUGAAUUUAAAAUAUUAUCAUUUAUUUUUUUUUGUAGCAUUUACUAAUCUUCUGAUAUUCAGUAUUGUUUUUAUAUAACUUAAUUUAAAACAUUAUCAUUUAUUUAUCUUAUUAUGUGAUUUUACACUAUCAAAUUAUUUGUUUUAAGGGGCAUUUUGGUCUUUUCAACACUCAUUUGAGUUUUGUCUUAUUAUAAGAAUAUGUAAUGUCAACAGCAAUUAUCAUAAGGGUAUAAUGGCCUUUUCACUGCUCUACAAACCCCACAGCCAAAAACAAUUUCGCCCCAAAUAUAAAGAUCAUCUACCGUGUCCAAUAAUUUUGGCAUUCAUUGAAAUGUGUACUGAAGGGCAUUAUUGUAUAUUCACUCAACUACCUAACGGGUGCCUAACCUUCAUACAUGGCCAGGGGGUUUAUUGUCAAUAUAUGGAUACAUUCUCUCUAAGUGUAUCAAAGCCAAACCUCAGGGGAGGUUUCUAAAAGUUUUCCUAAAUAGUUAAUAAUUUUGUACAACAGAUUCCUGGAUACCCCUCAAGUUCACUGAUUCUACGUUAUGGCUGACUUUCAAGAAAUUAAAUUCUACAUUAUGACCCCCAGUGAAACAUUGUUGCCGAUAAAAUUAUAAAAUAUAUGUGUAAUAGUAGUCAAACCUAAACCUACGUCGUUUAGCAAUUUACAAAAUGAGAAAGACGACAAAAGCCGGGUGUUGGACCAGCAACGAGCCAACAAGAUAAGCUCAAGUUCACUGUGUUUUUUAUGAACCCUCUGAAGACCCAAAACUCUAGGUUUGUUUUUUACGUUCCCUAACUGUUUGACUACAUUUUUAUUCUUUGCUACGUUCGUUAUGAACUGUUCAGGCUAAGUGCUUGACGAAAUUCCUAAGUGAGUGUGUAUAAUGGUUUGCUCUUGUAUUUAUUCUGUUAUAGAAGGUUUUGCUUUGGGUGGUUAAAUAGAUGAGACUAGACAUUGAACUUUAUGCACUUGUAUGUUUUCCAGUAAUUGGUUGUUCAGGCACAUGUACUUUGAAUUGCUUCAUUCAUCUUCAGAGAUAUCAUAACUUUUGUUGUUAAUUUGUCUAAAGUGAAGGCUUUUUUAACUUUUAUUUCUUUGAUUUAUUUAUUUAUUGGUGUAUUGAGGUUCUGUGUCUAAACUUUUAUUUGAUAAGUUCUUUCAGACUACUAAUUGGAAGAAAAAAGUGCUAGAGAGUGAGUAUGAGAGGGAAUGAUGUUUGGGCAAGGGGUGAUUGGUUCACUUGGCUCAUGAAGAACCCCAACUAUAAUGGCAUGUAUCAAUUUCGCAGCCUAAUUGGCAGGUAAGCUCAUUUCUUGAUUUCCUUCAUUUUUCACUUCCAUUUUACUGUUUUCAGGUAGCAGGUAAUUUAAAUAAAAGUAAAAUCAGUAGUGAUUUGCUUCAAGUGCAUGUGGAUAGUAUAUCACAUGUGAGAAGAUUGUAUUUGUUAUAUGAAAAUCCUUAAUAACUUUAAUUAAAAAAUAUAUUCUCAAACCUGAUCGUGGAAUGUACUAUUUCUUAAUAUCUGAGUUUGGAUCAACACAUUUUUUGCCAUGCAAUUUGACAAGUUGUCAUGUCCUCAUUCUGCGCUAUUAUAAGUUUUGCCAAUCUGCAUAGGUAUUUUUAUAGAUUGAGUUAAUCUAGUUUCGAGAACAUGCCUUACUAAAGGGCGUUGAGUUUCUAAGUGAAGGCAAGUGCAACUAUAAUUAUCUAUUUCAUAUCCUCCCUGUUACCUCUAAAUUCUUCCAAUAACUUGGGGACGUUAAUCCUAUUAACGACAGCCACAUAUUAUAAGUCGAGAAAACUGAUUUUUUGAUUAUUGAAAAAUUAAAUUUUUUGUAUUAUUCUAUUGUGAUCUCAGUAACCUACCUGUUGCGGUUGUCUUGUAUGGAUCAUUGUUUCUCUUUUAAGCUGUUAUAUUGACAAUUUUUAGCUCUUAUUGCAGAUCUUAAAGUCAUUGCAAGCACAUGCUCCAUUGAUCUCCAUAAAUUCGGAUACAUAUGUAUAGUUAGCUAUUCAAACAACCACACUGGUAUUCAACUUCAAUAUUCAGAAACAUGGCUGAAGUGAAGCUUCAUGGGGCAUGGGCGAGUGCAUUUUGUUACAGAGUGAUAUGGGCUCUGAAAUUGAAAGGCAUAGCAUAUGAUUACAUUGAAGAAGAUCUCUCUAACAAAAGUGCUUUGCUUUUGAAGUAUAAUCCAGUUCACAAGAAGGUCCCAGUGCUUGUUCAUGACAAAAAAUCCGUUUGCGAGUCCAUUGUUAUCCUUGAAUACAUUGAAGAGAUGUGGCCACACAAUCCCUCCUUGAUGCCAAGUGAUCCUUAUGAUGGAGCUCUGGCUCAUUUCUGGAUUAAAUUUGCCGAAGACAGGGUUUGCUUCAGAACUCUAGCUAAUGCGUUUAUAAGUUCAUUAUUUUCAUGUUUAUUUGUUAUUAGAGAAAAUGAUCAGUAUCCCCCAUUGUAAGUCAAAAUUAAUCAUUUCUUCUUUUAUAUUUUAAAACCUAUCAAAAUCUCCAUUGUUGUUCAAAAAAUUCUGUUAACUUUCAACUUUUUGUGUCUUUUACUAAUUUACCUCUGGAAAAAUUUUUAUUAUUAAGAAGUUGAAAGUUUAUUAGAAUUUUUUUAAUGGCAGGGGAAAUUUUGAUGGCUUUUGAAAUAUGACGGAGAAAGGAAUUGAUUUACCGAAACAGCAUUGGGGUUUUGUUGUUCAUUUCCCGUCAUUUGAUGUAGUGGUUAACCUUUGGUAUAAGGAUGCUUGACAAGGGUAUUUAGGUCCAAGUCUUUUAGCUCAUACGUAUUAUUAAUCAUGUGGUGAUAUUUUGGCAGGGAGCUACUGUUUGGAAAAAGUUUUGUAGCAUACAAGAUCAAGAGAAUACAAUAAAAGAAAUCUUGGAAAUGCUAAAAACCGUUGAAGAACAUGGCUUAGGAGAGAAGAAAUUUUUUCAUGGAGACAAGAUUGGCUUAGUGGACAUAGCAUUUGCUUCUAUUGUUUAUUGGUUGCAAAUAAUUGAAUAUGUAGCAAGAGUGUAACUAUUUGAAUCUCACAAAUUCACUAGCUUACACGUUUGGUUUGAAAAUUUUAAACGAGUCCGAGAAAUUGAAGAGAACCUUCGUAAUCGGGAUGAACUGUUGGGUUUUUUCAAACGUAGCCGUGAAAAGUUGGUGGCCUCAUCCUCAUUGCAUUAGCACAAAAUUUGUUCAUGCAAUUGUAUUGUUGUCAAGAGGCCGCUCUUUGCUUAGUUUUUUAUCGUCUUUUGUGCUCAAUUGGGAGGCCGCCGGUUUGCUGGGUACUUUCAUAUGGAUUUGAGUUAUAAAAGGGACUUGACUUUAUAUUUAUGAAUUAUUGCAUGUAUUUCGUUAAUUAUUAAUGGACUACUAGCGGUUAUGUAUUGUUUGGAAGGAAGUUUGAAUGCUAAGAUGUACUAAUGACUUAAUGACAUGUGGCAAAAAAAUCAGUUAAGUAAAGUCAACUCGAUUGAAUGAAUGGUAAUAUAGCUCUCAAAAGUUAGAAGAUAAGCUCCCUAUGGAAAAAUAUAGUUUCGGUAAUAUGUUUAACAUUAAGGGGUAUUAUCGAAACUUAAAUUUUAAUGGUUAGACCCAGUAUGUGAACAGUGCGCCAUUAUUUUUAGGGUUAUAUUUUGCUAAGAAUAACAAGCCAAUAGAACUUUAGAGACUUUUUUCUAGAUCUAAUUUCUUGAGAGACUUCUUCAUCUUCUUCAUCCUCUAUUUUUAGGGUUUCUUUCUCCAUUUUAACACCACCAUGGAAAAUCUUAACCAUCUCAUCCCCCAAAGAAACCUCUUCCCUUACUCUUCUCUUGGAAAACUCUCUAAUCUCUAUGAGACUCAUAUCUCCCCCAUGUCAUUAUUCCUCAAAAACAAUCUUUAAUAAGAUUUUAUCGAUAUUACAAUGCAAAUUAUGUAAUACUUCAUUUAUAUAGUGGAUUGGAUAUGAAUUACUCCUAUGGAUGUAGAUCAAAGGGCCAACCACCUAAAAUCUUGUGUGUUUUUUAUUGUUUAUGCUUAUUUUCUAUUUAUUAGGAUGAUGAUAAUGCUCAGAUCGUAUUUCAUAUAUGAGCUCACUAGAGGCACUAUUGAGUUCCCCAAAUAAGCUCUCUAGUUAAAGCUAUCCUUAAAUAUGCCUGAGCUACUCCCUAAACUCUCUUGAGCUCCGCAAAUCAACUAUUUAAACUAAAUCCCAUGAGCUCCACAAAGCUUACCUCCCAACAGCAAAAUACCAAGCUUACCUCAAUUCAUCUUCCAGAUCACCUCAUUUAUUUCUUUUGUCCCUAACAGUAGAAAAACACACUUAGAUUUUUACUAGCCCAAUCUCACCUCAAAUAUAAAUUUAUUUAUUUAAAUUGUCUUUGACCUAGAUCUAGUGAGGACAAUGAUUCAAAUCAGAUCCUAGAGGAAAUCCGAUCAAAACAUUUAUCUAUGUAUAAUAUUGAACAUCAUCCUAACGAUCAAUCCGAAUGCACUUGGAUUUGUUCUUAAUAGUACACAAAAGUGGAAAAAGCAUAGCAAGCAACACUUGCACACACGAGGCUCAAUACAAGUACGAACGUCACAAUUCCAAGCAACAAACAAUGAUCAUCAGUACUAAUUUUUUCUGCAAGCCACAAAAUUGGAAAAUACCGCCAAGUAAUUAAUUAACCACUGUGACUUGCCAGCUUAAGCUUAUCCAAUGCUGAGAGUUCAUUAUUCUUCAAGGAUUGGUUAUUGUAAAUGUCUUUUAGAGUAAUUUCAGGAUAGAGCGGAGGAUUUACUUCUGAUAGCAACUCUUUAAUUGGACCAUAUCGUCUCGAGCAACUAUUAUUCAUGAAAAAACUUCCGAUUGAAAUUCUGGAGCCUUCCUUAUUUGAUAACACUCUAUGAUAGGCACUCUUGAACUUAUCGUUGGUAAUCAGCUGCAUAAACACACACUUCAUAUAAACGAUAAUUAAGUUAUCUGAUCUUCGUGAAAGACUUGGAGGCCACCAAUUUGAUCUUGUAUGAGCACAGUAACAAAUCCAGGGUCAGAAUGUGUUGCUAUGCCGAUGGACAAUUCUGGUUGAGGGCAUUCAGGGCAGUAACUAUUCCCAAUAGUCAUUUCCUCUACACAACCUAUGUCUUUCAGGUAAUUGGGGUCAAGCCCUAAAGCUUCGGAUAAAAGUUCAAACAGAGUGCCCCCUGUUUUCCACAUUAGGUUGUUGUAUGUGAUCAUUAUCUCUCUGCAAAUUAAUAAAGUCAAAAAAUAAUCACUACUAAAAGAAAGGGAGAAUGACAUUUCGACUUUUAGAAAUUAUUUUUUUAUUGGGUUAACAUCUAGAUGAAAUGAGAGUAAUAAAAACUUAUUAGGAACCCAAGUGAUGCAAAAAGUUCUAAGAAAGAGGCAGGUGUUAUCCACUGUAAAAGAAAUAAAAUCUAUUGGUCAUCGUUCACAUACCUGCAAGCUUCAGGCAAAUCUUCAGGAUUUGAAAAAUCGCGAUCCAUAACACAACUCAAAGUAUCUUUCCAAAAGAGAGUCGGUGCACUAUACAAAUUUAAAUUUGAACAAUAUUUAAUUUUUUUGGAGUAAUCACGAGAAUAAUAUUUCUGCUUAACCUCAACAUCUUGUUCAAAAAACCUACGGAUCCCAUCAAUGGCUUGAUCCAAAAUGCUUGUUGGGACUCCAUGAUUGAUCACUUGAAAGAAACCCCACUCCUCACAAGCACUUCUAAUUUGGUCAAUUACCUGAGAACGCAAGCUUGAAUCCUUGUGUAUUCUUUGAAGGUCUAUGAUUGGGAUGCUGAUUUUGGGGUCCCUGCAGAUUGGCUUAUCAUCAAACUUAUAUUUAGUGUGAUGAUCUUGAAUGAAGAUUUGUGGAAUGGUUGUGAUCCCAGCAUCUACGAGUCCCUUAACACCAGCUUUCGUGUCAUCAAAAGCUUUCAACUCGCUAACUCUGUCACAAGUAAUGCUUCCCAUUGCUUGGUGAAUUAUCUUUUACUUGGUGAAUUAUGAAUUACAUAUGCUGACUUGCUGAUGAUUGCUUUUAGGAGAUACCGUUUAUAUGAUUGCUAGCUUGCCACGUGCAACAUGUUGAAAUAUAACGUCACCACGAUGAUAUGGAAAUUUGUAAAUUUGAUUCUGCAUUAUUUAUCAUGAUUAAAUUAAUUAUAAAUUAUCAAUAACAGUCAAUUCCGGGGACCACCAACCAGUGGGUGGCACAGCACGAUAAUAGACUGGGCUGUGGCUUUGUUUUAUGUGGACAAAAUUCCAAUUAGCUACAGCAUAUUGCUGCUUGAUAGUUAACGUUUCACCUUCUCCAUUUGGACAUACUAUUAUGGAUUUACAGUGUUGCUUAAAAGCUAGAUCUUAAAUGAAAAGAAAGCUUUAAUGGUGAAAUAAAUAUUAAAAAAAAAUGAUAAAGAGACUAAAUGUUAACCUAAUGUUAACAAAAAUAAUGGUAAAAUAAACCUGUUUUAUCAUGUUAAUAAUAGUGGUAUUUAUUUAACUUUAAUAAAUUUGGCCAUUUCGAUUUUUAAUUUGGCACCUUCCCUGCUCAGUCAAGAAAAAGAAUACUAUAAAAAUUAAAAUAGAAAAUUUGGCAAGGACAUAACUGCAGAGAUGUUAUAUAUCAAAGCAAUGUCAAAGACUCAAAGUUAUAAUACUUCCCUUAUUAAUGAGAAGAGCACUAGCAUAUACAAGAUCGACAAUCACUUAAAUUAAGCCUUAAUAAUACUAAACUACAUACAUGGGAUCUAAUGCGUACAAGCAAUGCUUUCUGGUCACAGCAGCUUUAGGUUUCAGCUACAGUACAAAGUGAAACUGUCGCUUGAAAAUAAAAUUCAUGUUCAGCAGCCUCUCUAUAUCCGAGCUCCAAUUUUAUAACCAGGCAGCUAAAUAAGAUGAUUUAGACGGCAACGGCGUCUGUAGUAUUAAUUGUUUGUCUGUAGUCCCUCAUUAUCUACUUUCUGAUCGCUUACUAUGUAGAGAAUCGACAAGAGCAAAUUGUAGCACACGUUCACAGCACUAAUAACUGUUAAACUCUUAUAGUACUUGUCAAGCCUACUAUCAUCCAAGGUUUCAGCAAAGUCGCCUUUGUUUGCCAAAAUGAAAAAGAUGUUAAAAAUGCUUCCAAUUCCGACGAAAAAAGAACUUAUUGCUGAUACAUGGUACUCCAUCCGUUCAGGAAAAUGAGAGCUCGAGUAUUCAUCACAUCCAUACCAAGCAAGCCCUUCCAUAAGACCUAAUAGACAGAAUUGUGGAACAAGCCAAAACAUGCUCAUAUUUUCCAAUUGUUUGAGCUUUUCCAACCUGCGAACCUCAACCUGCCAUGCCACUACACAGCAAACUGUAGUCAUCACCAUUCCAAUGAAUGUUCUCAACACUUGAGCUUGUCUCCUUUUAGUUUUUGGAACAAAAUCGGAAAUUAAAUUUUUUGACAGAUAAGAGAUCGUUGCACGAAUUAUCCCUUUAAAAGUUCGUAGAAAGAUUAAGUAUCUUUCAGAAAUCAUGUUGGCUCCCUGCUCAGGAAAAAAUGUAUUUCCUGCUGACAGAACCAAUCCAAACACAAUGAAGCUAGACCACAAUGGCAACAAUUUAAGAAGAGAUUUUGACUCCCUGACCUGGGCCACAGUGCAAAGUGUGCCUGCCUCUUCUUGUUCGUUAGAAGUACUUGAUGUCUCUAUAAUUGCCGCUUUGUCUAUCCAUCUGCAAUUCAAAGAAUUAAUUUAUUGGUAAUUUUUUAGGAAAAUAGAAAGCGACAGCUCAUGGUUUGGCAAAAUGAUCACACAGACGCGUUUAUAAAUACGCCCUUUUGGACAAAUCUUGGAGGUCGGUGUGACUAUUCCCGAACACAAAAGGGUAUUAAUGUGUCCGUAAAGAGGUUUAUAUAAUUAUUAAUAAAAAUAAGAGGGUCUCCCCGACAAUUUUGCCAGACCACGGGCCGGGUGGGUGUAUACAUGUUAGGCAUAUACCUGAGUAAUUUGAUUCUGGGUGACAAGUGUAAUACGUUUCCCUCAUCAUUACUGAAGAACAGCCCCGGAGAACGAGGAUAAUUGAGAUGCUUUUUCUUCAGGGAGGUUUUAACAACGCGGAUUAUAGCAAAACGGUCAAUAGGAGGUAUUUGUCUACUAUGAUAAAAGGGAAUACCCAACAACAGCAGGAUCAAACUGCCCCCCAUAAACAACAAUGUGAACAUGAAAGUCUUCGUCCAUGUCUUAAUAUUAUUUGCAUAGAAUGCCGCAGCUGCACCACAGCACCAGGCAAACCGCCACCACAGUCUUUUCUGAGCCAUUACUUGAUCCUCAUUUGAAUUUUCUGUUCUCCCUCCUUUACCAUGUUCUCUUAAUUGAUCGGCAAGAAAUGGUCCCAUAAGAGGCGCCGCUCCAACUUCACCCACUGCUAACAGGAUAAUUCCUAUCAUGUUGAGUAGCUCAAAGUUGGUUUCUGAAAAUUCUCUGGACGCUGUACAGAACAAUAGCCCCAAUGCCUGAAACGAAAAUUGUUGGAACUAAUUGUAUAGCAUAACAUUAUGAUCCUAGAAAUGCUUUUCUUAAUCAUUAUUAUAAUCCAAUUGGAGCCAAAAUGAAUUAAUGUCACAUCAAUUGUAACUUAACUAUUGAGAUCUCUAGCAUUAUUUUUAUAGGGAUAAAGCUGCUAAUAUCCUCUUAAGAGGUAUGUGUGUAUACAUACAUACAUACAUAUAUAUAUAUAUAUAUAUAUAUAUAUACAUGCUGUGAAAUUUAACAUUUACUGCAAAAUAAUAAAUUUUUAAUUUAGGUCAAAGUACUAUAAAGUCCUGGGUCCGCCCCUGAAUAUAUAUAUUGCUUGCAAUGAUAGACAUAUGUUUUAAUUUCGUCUCUGUUUAGAAGUUUAGCAAAUUCAAAACAUAUUAACUUACAAGGAUGUAGGAGACAGUUGAAAAAAUGAGGAUUCUGAGAGGACGAAUGGCAUAACACGAAAUCCAGGCGGCAACAACCGUAAGAGUUGCUAAUAUUACAUCCUGAAUACUCGUAAAUAUUGCAGCUUUCUGAAGUGUGAAUACUUUUGAAUAUUCGGAGUCGGAGAAGUAAGUUAUCAAGACGCCCACUAUAGCCAAGUCUACGAGUUUGCGGCUUAUCAACAAACCUGGAAUCAAAAUAAUCAUUAGAAAAAAUGUUCGUGCUCACUAAAAAAAGCUUACACAUGAGGACUGCAAGAACAACGUGAGAGAACUAUUGUCAUGUUUUUAUAAUUUAGCCCAACCUAAUCAAAGAUCUUAAGUACACCUCUCUUAACUGAAAUUAUUCUAGGGGAUUAUCUAUUUAGGAAUCUCAAAGUUCAUGAGCUCUUAAUACACGGGCGGAUUUAGCAACUGGCCAAAAAAAAAAUCUAAAAUUAAAAAAGAAAAAUAUUUUAGUUUUUUAAUUAGCCCCAUAAAAAAUUUAUUAAAAUAAUCACUAUAAAUUAUAAACCCCCAUAAAAUUUAAAAUUUAAAAUUUAGCUUUUAAGAAUUAUAAAAAUUUAUAUUUUAAUUGAAAAUAAUAAUAGUCCACCACUCAAAAUAUUUUCAAUUCUCAAAAAUAUGAUUAAUUCUUCCAGUCUCUAUAAUAAUACUAGAGCGAACGUUUUCAGUAAUGAAACUCAUGAAAAAUCAUCUUUGGAAUCAUAUGGGAUAAAUGAUAGUUUGAUUGUUUAUAUACGAAACAAUAAAUUUAAUAAUCUUGAUAAUGAGUCUAUUGUAUAACAUUUUUAAAAUAUAAAAAUGCGCGGAGAAUAAUUAUAAAUGUAUUAGCAAAUAUUUUAUAUAUUCAAAAUUUUAGUUUUUCAUAUUUUACUAUUAUCUAAUUUAGCCCCCAGUAAAUUAUUUUUCUAGAUCCGCCACUGUUAAUACAUACACACGUACAUAUACAUACAUACAUCAUCAUGUUGUUAAAGAAAUGAUAUUAGUAAAAUACAAAAAAAAUAUAUGUACACGUAUUAAAUUGUAUGGUUUAACAGAAUUAGUACAAAUAAAUAAAUUACAUGAUUUUGUAGUGCAUUGAAAAUUAAUUAUAUUAAACUAUACAAUUUAAUAGUGUGUCUCCAUUAAAAAAAAAAAAAGACCCCCAUAUAUAUGUAUACAAGUUUAUAUUCUAAAUAAAUACAUUUUUAAAAGAUAGGAUUACCUAAGGCCCCACGUGCAAAAUUACCUGACAGAAAUGCAGCAGCCUUACAAAAGCAGACGUAAUAUCGUACCCAAGUUAUGAACCUGUUUUGAAGCUUCAACAGCUGAGAAAAUGGAAGCAUUGUAGUUUCUGUAACUGCUUCUUUUAUCUGCAAAUACUUCUACUUGUGAGUUGUGAAUCACGAGACGAUGAAGAUUUUGUAAUUAUGCCAAAGUCUUAUAGUUAGUUUAUUCAAAUUAAAAAAUAAUAAGUCGCACUUCAAGACCACCUAUUGGUCACAUAAGUCUUUUUUUUUUUUUCUUGUUUUUAGUCUUCUAAGAAGUUAGUUUAUUCAAAUUAAAAAAUAAUAAGUCGCACUUCAGGUCACUUCAAGACCACCAAUUGGUCACAUAAGUCUUUUUUUUUUUCUUGUAACUUUAAUCCAGCUACGGUGCAACAGGUGCACCGUGCCCCUCUUUUUGACAGCACCCCUUACUUUCUUCUGUAUUUACAGUUUAUUAAAGUAAUUUCUUUUUCCUCUUUCUUUCACCCCUCACCUUUACAAUCUUCCAAUUUUUUCCAUUUUCAAUUAAACCUAUAAUCAACCAAUUGCAAGCAAUAAGAAAGAAGUUGGCAAGCUAUUUCUUUAUCACCUUAUGAUUCAUUUGCUCUAUAAUACACAAGUAAUAAUGAAUUGAAGUUUUUAUAUAAAAAAAAUUACAUAGAUGUAAUUUUUUUACGCACACUAUUUAUCAUCUACAAUAAAAUUAACAUGUAAGUAAAUUGAUUUUUUUAUCUUUUAUUAUAUGUAUUCUUCCCCUUUCUCCCCCGUAUGUCUUUUCAUUUUCUCUUUGAAUAAUCUAACCUAAGGCUUUCUAAUAAUUGGUUUAUUGUUAUUAUUUUUAUAAGUAAACCUUCUCUUUAUUAUGGCAAUAUGUUUAUUUUUAAAAAAAAAAUUGUAAAUGACCAAAAGUGAGAACAUUAAUAAAAAUUCAAAACCUAUCUUAGUUUUUGUUGUCUUUGUUGAUGCAUCUUGCAUGUUUGAUCUCUUAAUUAUAAUUUGUGAGAGUAAGUACUGUAAUACAAUGAUUAUUAAUGAUUAUUACUAAGAGUAUUUAGAGAAAAAGAAGUUGGUGUAAAAUUUUAUAAACUUUGACUUUUCUAAAUUUUCACUAAACAAUAGGGAUUGCAUUAGAGUAAUGAUACAGCCACAAACUCUUGUACAAACUUAUUUUGUACAAACUGACGUGACAUUAAUUCAUUGGUUGAAUGAAAUAUAUAAAUUAAUAAAAACAAAUCACGUGGGCCAAGUGAUAUUUAAUUCAAUCAAUCUUAUCAUGCCACAUCAGUUUGUACAAGAGUUUGUGGCUGUAUCAUUACUCAUUGCAUUAUUAAUAACUAAAUAAACACAUCCAUAACCUUGAAACUACAUUUGUGUUAGAUCCGAUGGUGGCAGUACAAAAAGACAAAAAGAGGGGUAUGGUGCACCCCUUGCACCGUAGUUGGAUCCUUUAGUUACAAAAUAAUGACUUACUGUACAGCUCAAUAAUUUUAGGUGGUAUGAAACACGUAUGAUGAGACGGUCAUAAUUAAACUGUACCAUGAAUGAUGCUCAUUGAGUAUAUAAUCCCUUUCUUUUUACAAACAAGAUUUAUGCUUUAUUUUAGGGAGGUUUGCUAAGUUCUUUCUUUUUGUAAUGGUUACGGAGACCGACAAUUUUCUAUUGAAGUUAUUUAUAAAUGUAUUUCUUUUUCAGCAUGUAAUAUAUUUAGGAAAUGAGUAAUUAUUAAGUAUAAACACUUAGAUAAAUAAUGUUGUACAAACUUAUAUGAGAUUUUUAGAAAAAAGGAUAUGAACAUCCUUAAGAUUUUAAAAAAUGGUCAUAUAUAAUCUGAGUUUUUAAUAAGGAAUAUCAAGACACUUUUUGAUUAUAGUAUGCUUAGUAGAUAAUAACAAAAAAUAUUGAUGAUUUAGAUGGCAUCGGCAUCUGUAGUAUCGUUUGUCUGUAGUCCCUCAUUAUCUACGCUCUGAUCGCUCCCUGUGUAGAGAAUCGACAAGAGCAAACUACUGGGUGGCACAUCACAAUAAUAAAUUAUAAAUAAUAGUCAAUUCUGCAUAAAUUAAUUGUCCCUCAUUAUCUGCGUUAUUUAUCAUGAUUAAAAUAAUUAUAAAUUAUCAAUAAUAGUCAAUUCCGGGGACCACCAACUACUGGGUGGCACAUCACAAUAAUAAAUUAUCAAUAAUAGUCAAUUCUGCAUUAUUUAAUAUUUAUGUGGAUAAAAUUUCAAUUAGCUACACUACAUUGUUGUUUGAUAGUUAACGUUUCACCUUCUCCAUUUGUAAAUAUUAUUAUGGACUUAUAGUGUGGCUUAAAAGCUAGAUCUUAAAUGAAAAGAAAGCUUUAAUGGUGAAAUAAAAAUUUAAAUAAAUGAUAAAGAGAUUAAAUUAAGGUUAACCUAAUGUUAGCAAAAAUAAUUGUAAAAUAUACAUGUUUUAUCAUGUUAAUUGAUGCUUUUCCAGUAUGCACAUAAAAAAGAUAUAUUUUACAAUUGUCUCUGUUGGCGUUCGGGCAGAUUUUUUUAGUCUAAUUAAGUAUAUCAUAAGUUAAUAAUAGUGCGUAUUUUAACUUUAAUAAAUUUGGCCUCUUAGAUUUUUAAUUCUGACUCCUUCCCUAAUCAAUCAAGAAAAAGAAUGCUUUUCUCCAUAAAAAUUAAAAUAGAAAAUUCAGCAAGGACAUAACUGCGGAGAUGUUUGAUCCUGGAUUUAUAUAUCAAAGCAACAUCAAAAUUAUAAUACUUCCUUGUUACCGAGAAGAGAUAUAUUCAAGAGCACUAGCCUUAUAAAGCCUAAACCAUACUAAACUACCUACAAGGAAUCUAAUGCGUACAUGCAAUGCUUUCUAAAGUGAAACUGUCGCUUGAAAAUAGAAUUCAUGUUCAGCAGCCUCUCUCUAUCCGGGCUCCAAUUUUAUAACAAGGCAGCUAAAUAAGAUGAUUUAGAUGGCAUCGGCAUCUGUAGUAUCGUUUGUCUGUAGUCCCUCAUUAUCUACGAUCUGAUCGCUCCCUACAGUAUUGUUUGUCUGUAGUCCCUCAUUAUCUACGCUCUGAUCACUCCCUAUGUAGAGAAUCGACAAGAGCAAAUUGUAGCACACGUUCACAGCACUAAUAACUGUUAAACUCUUAUAGUACUUGUCAAGCCUACUAUCAUCCAGGGUUUCAGCAAAGUCGCCUUUGUUUGCCAAAAUGAAAAAGAUGUUAAAAAUGCUUCCAAUUCCGACGAAAAAAGAACUUAUUGCUGAUACAUAAUACUCCAUCCGUUCAGGAAAAUGGGAGCUCGAGUAUUCAUCACAUCCAUGCAAAGCAAGCCCUUCCAUAAGACCCAAUAGACAGAAUUGUGGAACAAGCCAAAACAUGCUGAUAUUUUCCAAUUGUUUGCGCUUUUCCAACCUGCGAACCUCAACCUGCCAUGACACUACACAGCAAACUGUAGACAUCACCAUUCCAAUGAAUGUUCUCAAUACUUGAUCUUGUCUCUUCUUCGUUUCCGGAGCAAACUUGGAAAUUAAUUUCUUCGACAGAUAAGAGAUCGUCGCAAGAAUUAUGGCUUCAAAAGUAAGUAGAAAGAUUAAGUAACGUGCAGAAAUCAUUUCGGCUCCCUGCUCAGGAAAAAAUGUAUUUCCCGCUGACAGAACCAAUCCAAACACAAUGAAGCUAGACCACAAAGGUAACAAUUUAAGAAGAUAUUUUGACUCCCUGACCUGGGCCACAGUGCAAAGUGUGCCUGCCUCUUCUUGUUCUUUAGAAGUACUUGAUGUCUCUAUAAUUGCCGCUUUGUCUAUCCAUCUGCAAUUCAAACAAUUAAUUUAUUCCUAAUUUUUUAGGGAAAAUAGAAUGCAGCAGCUCAUGGUUCGGUAAAAUGAUCACACAGAUUCUUUUAUAAAUACACCCUUUUGGACAAAUCUUAGAGGUCAGUGUGACUAUUUCUAAACACAAAAGGAUAUCAGUGUGUCCAUAAAGAGGUCUAUGCAAUUAUUACUAAAAAUAAGAGGGUCUCUCUGACAAUUUUUGCCAGACCACGGCCGGCUGUGGGUGUAUACAUGUUAGGUGUUGUUGAGAUGAUUAAUCAACAGCAGCAGAGCAAUGGUUGAGAUUCACUUGACUAGGAUUGAUGAGCUGGACAGCUGAGCUGGACAAAUCAGUUAGUUCGUUAUUGUUGUUUUAGCUUAACCAAUGUUUAAUUGACAGCUGCUAAGAAGUUGUUAUUUGCUGUUAAUGAAUAAUAUAAGUUGAUGAAUGUGUGUGUGUAAUAAAAUAAUUCGAGAUCAAUAAAGCUCUCUUAUUCAGUUUAUUUUCUUUCUCCUUUUCUGUCACUUUCCUGCUAGCCAAACACAUUGUAUGCUUAAGAUCAGUAAAUUCUAAGUUGGUAUCAGAGCUAGAUGGCAUCGUCAAGUUCAAAUCAAACCACAACUGUUUCCUAUACGUUUCCUACACCAAUCAAGCUCGACAGAUCAAAUUAUCUGAUCUGGAAAAUCCAAGUAUUGGCAUCAAUUCAGGGAAAUGGAUUAGAAGGAUACAUUGAUGGUUCAAUCACAGCACCAUACACAGAUCAGAGAACUCCGAACUCUGAAUUUGUGAUAUGGAAGCGAACUGAUCAGCAGCUGCUAGGUUGGUUACUCUCCUCCAUGACUGAGAGUGUCCUUGGAAUUGUUCUCGGAUGCAAAACUUCCUUUGAAGUUUGGAAGACUCUGGAAAAACUCUCUGGUUCACAGAACAAAACCAGAGCAUUACAACUGAAGAAUCAAAUGAUGAUGACAAAGAAGAAUGAUUUGAGUGUUUAUGACUAUUUUCACAAAAUGAAAGGCAUAGCAGAUAGUAUGGCAGCAGCAGGGGCACCAAUGAGUGACUAUGACUUUAUGAUAAGUGUAUUAGGAGGAAUUGGUUCAGAUUUCAAUCCUGUAGCAGUUUUGAUUACAGGAAGAGGAUUAGAUCUCGAUUUAUCAGAAUCACUCUCUAUGUUAAUGACACAUGAGGGAAUGUUAGAACAACAAGCAUUAGCUGAAACUAUGGAUGCAAAUCUGGCUUUUGCUGCUAAUUUUGUUCAGAAAGGAAACAAUAAUAAGAAAGGUUUUGGAACAUACAACUCAAAAUCUGGUUUCAAUCAAGAUGUAUCAAGAUCUGAAAAUUCUGGAUACAUGAUGCAAGGAAAUUUUAGAGGCAAUCAAGGUGGAAAUUUUUAUCGAGGAAGGAGAGGUGGAAGAGGAAAUAAUAUGCAUGGAGGAAGAUCUUGGAAUCAAGGUGGGAGAACUCAAAUGCCUGGUCAUUUUUCACAGCCAUAUCAACCUAGAUGCCAAGUGUGCUUCAUUAUAGGACACACAGCUGCCACCUGCAAGGAUAGGUUCAACAAGGAUUUUAUUCCAGCAAGGUAUCCACAUCAAAACAAUUACAAUCAAGGUUUCAAUCAAGGCUACAGUCAAAGAAAUAUGUCAGCUUAUUUGGCAACACCAGAAACAGUAAUGGAUGAUGGCUGGUAUCUGGACAGUGGAGCAACUCACCACCUAACAAAUGAUCUCAACAAUCUCAACAUCAGUGAACCUUAUGAAGGUAAUGAAAAGCUUAUAAUUGGAAAUGGAUAUGGCCUUACUAUUUCUCGUAUAGGAAAUACUCAUUUAGCAGUUGGAAAUCACAAAUUGUUGCUCAAAAAUCUUUUAUUUGUGCCACACAUCACCAAAAAUCUUUUAAGCAUUUCUAAGCUAACUUCUGAUAAUUCCUUGAUCAUUGAAUUUUGUGGAAAUACCUGUUUUCUCAAGGACAAGAAGAAGAGGACAGUUUUGCUGGAGGGUGUGGCUAUGAAGGGUCUGUAUAAGCUGAAACUUGAGCCUGGAAAUAAAAUUCAUCAAGUCUUAUUUUCUACUGUAAAUAAAGAGUCAUGUUCUGAUGAUGCUCCAAUGUCCAUGGUGUCACAUUGUUCAGAUGAUUUGCAGUCUUGUUCUAGUGCAAACACUCAAGCUAAAAUUGCUCAAAAUUGUCUGUUGUCUCAUUCAAGUCCAGUUUCCAGCACUUCAAUAAAUAUCUUACAUAGGCAACUUGGUCAUCCUAGCUCAACAGUCAUGAAACAUGUUCUUACUGAUUGUAAACAUUUGCAAUUCAGCAAUAAAACUCAGCUUCCUUACUUUUGUGAUGCUUGCCAAUAUGGAAAAGUUCAUAAAUUGCAUUUUAAAACAACUGCAAACAAAACAGCCUCACCACUAGAGCUUAUUCAUACAGACUUAUGGGGUCCAGCACCCAUUACAUCUCUCAAUGGUUAUAAAUAUUAUAUCAGUUUCAUUGAUGAUUAUAGUAGAUAUACCUGGAUUUAUCCUUUGAAAACCAAGUCUCAAGCUUUGUCUGUUUUUAUCAUUUUCCAAACUCAAGUUGAAAAACAAUUUGGAACAGCCAUUAAGAGUUUACAGUCAGAUUGGGGGGGUGAAUUUAGGUCAUUUGUACCUCAUCUUCAAAAACAUGGAAUCUUAUUCAGACAUCCCUGUCCUCAUACACAUCACCAGAAUGGUAGAGUAAAAAGAAAACACAGACACCUUGUUGAGAUGGGUUUAACUCUCCUUGCCCAAGCCAAAUUACCUCUCAGUUUCUGGUGGGAAGCAUUCUCCACAUCUGCUUUUCUCAUCAAUCAAUUACCAACUUCAGUUCUGUCAUCCCAUCAGUCUCCCCAUGAAGUUCUUCACAAACACAAGCCUGACUAUGCCUUUCUGAAAUGUUUUGGUUGUUCAUGUUUUCCAUAUUUACGGUUCUAUAACAAACACAAAUUCAAUUAUCAUACCACAAAGUGUUUGUUUAUUGGUUAUAGUCCAGAUCACAAAGGUUAUAAGUGCCUAAGCUCCAAAGGUGUUGUCUAUGUUGCUAGGCAUGUUGUGUUUAAUGAGUCUGAGUUUCCUUUCUCUACUGAUCCUUUAUUCUCUAAACAGAAUUCUUCCUCUGUUUCUGAAUAUAGACAUCCUAUGUUUAAAGUAUCUUCAGUGUCAGUUCCACUUCCUGAUUCUUCAGGCUCAAGUGACACCUUUAUACAACAGCUUCAGAUGCCAGCAGCUUCAGCUUCUUCCUCUUCAUCUAGUUCUCCACCAAUUCAUAAUUCAUCACCUGAUCAAGCUCUACAGAUACUUCAUCCAAAUCAUAAUCCAUCCUCAAAUCAGCCUAUACAGUUACCUCAUCCACAUCAUAAUCCAUCACAUCCUCAUGCUCUACAGCCUACUCAUCCAAUGCUCACAAGAGCAAAAGCAGGAGUGUUUAAGCCAAAGUUUCUUGCCUAUUCUUCUGUUCUUGGAGAACCAGAACCUGCUACAGUCUCUCAAGCUCUCUCAGAUUCAAAAUGGAAGGCAGCCAUGCAGGCUGAGUAUGAUGCACUUAUGGACAAUAAGACUUGGAUUCUUGUACCAGCCUCUCAAGCUACUAAAAUUGUUGGUUGUAAAUGGGUUUUUCGCAUUAAGUACAAUGCAGAUGGUUCUGUUUCUAAGUAUAAAGCACGGUUGGUAGCAAAAGGGUUUCAUCAAACCCCUGGUAUUGAUUACUUUGAGACCUUCAGUCCUGUGGUCAAACAAUCAACUGUCAGAAUUAUACUUAGUCUUGUUGUGAUGAAGGGCUGGAAAAUAAGACAAAUCGACAUCAACAAUGCUUUCCUUAAUGGAGAGCUCAAUGAAGAUGUCUAUAUGUUUCAGCCUGAGGGCUUUGUUCAGUCUCCAUCGGGUCAUGUUUGCAAGUUGCAUAAGGCUCUUUAUGGUCUAAAACAGGCUCCCAGAGCCUGGUUUGAUAGGCUAAGGAAAGCACUGUUGCAGUGGGGGUUUCAGAACUCCAAAGCAGACUCAUCUUUGUUCAUCAAACAUGAAUCUGGAGGUAUUGUGGUUGUGUUGGUAUAUGUAGAUGAUAUAUUAAUUACUGGAGAUAAAAAUACAAUAAUUGAAACAUUCAUCAGAUAUCUUGGGGACACCUUUGCUUUAAAAGACCUGGGUGAGUUCAGCUACUUUCUUGGUAUUGAGGUUACACAUGCUGCAAAGGGUAGUUUACAUCUUUCACAAGCCAAAUAUGUGAGAGAUUUGCUUACAAGAACUGACAUGAAAAAUUGCAGAGAAAGUGAUACUCCAAUGAGUACAGGACAGAAACUGAGAAGAGUAGGAAAUGAUGAUAACUUGGUUGUCAAUGUUACUGAAUAUAGAAGCAUAAUAGGUGCUUUGCAGUACUUGGUGCUUACAAGACCAGAACUUGCCUUUUCAGUGAAUAAGUUGAGUCAAUUCCUUGCUGCACCAACUGAGAAACAUUGGAUUGCUUGUAAGAAAAUUCUAAGAUACUUGAAGGCAACUGAAGAUUAUGGAUUAUUGUUUAAAGCAGGUGAUGAAAUGAGGAUAACAGCAUAUACAGAUGCAGAUUGGGCGUGUGAUGUUGAUGACAGAAAGUCAGUUGGAGCAUAUUGUGUAUAUCUUGGGCAGAAUCUUAUUUCAUGGUCUUCCAAGAAGUAGCAAACUGUAGCAAGGUCUAGCACAGAAUCAGAAUACAGAGCAUUGUCAACAGCUUGUGCUGAAAUUGUUUGGAUUCAAGCCUUACUUGGGGAACUUAAACUGAAGUGCAGCCAAAUACCAAUCAUCUGGUGUGAUAACAAUGGAGCAGCAGCAUUAGCAACAAAUCCAGUGUAUCAUGCUAGAACUAAGCACAUAGAAUUGGAUGUGCAUUUCAUAAGGGAAAAGGUAACGAGCAAGCAAGUGGAAAUCAAGUAUGUACCAAGUGAGUGGAACAUUGCAGAUGUGCUAACAAAGCCUAUGGCUUACUCAUUUUUCAAUUACUAUAGAGACAAGCUUAAUGUUGUUCCACGACCGUUAAGCUUGAGAAGGGGUGUUGAGAUGAUUAAUCAACAGCAGCAGAGCAAUGGUUGAGAUUCACUUGACUAGGAUUGAUGAGCUGGACAGCUGAGCUGGACAAAUCAGUUAGUUCGUUAUUGUUGUUUUAGCUUAACCAAUGUUUAAUUGACAGCUGCUAAGAAGUUGUUAUUUGCUGUUAAUGAAUAAUAUAAGUUGAUGAAUGUGUGUGUGUAAUAAAAUAAUUCGAGAUCAAUAAAGCUCUCUUAUUCAGUUUAUUUUCUUUCUCCUUUUCUGUCACUUUCCUGCUAGCCAAACACAUUGUAUGCUUAAGAUCAGUAAAUUCUAAGUGGUGUAUACCUGAGUAAUUUGAUUCUGGGUGACAAGUGUAGUACGUUUCCCUCAUCAUUACUGAAGAACUGCUCCGGAGAAAGAGGAUAAUUGAGAUGCUUUUUCUUCAGGGAAGUUUUAACAACUUGGAUUAUAGCAAAACCGUCAACAGGAGGUAUUUGUCUACUAUGAUAAAAGGGAAUACCCAACAACAGCAGGAUCAAACUGCCCCCCAUAAACAACAAUGUGAACAUGAAAGUCUUCCCCCAUGUUUUAAUAUUAUUUGCAUAGAAUGCCGCAGCCACACCACAGCACCAGGAAAACCGCCACCACACUCUUUUCUGAGCCAUUACUUGAUUCUCAUUUGUAUUUUCUGUGCUCCCUCCUUCACCAUGUUCUCUUAAUUGAUCGGCAAGAAAUGGUCCCAGAAGAGGUGCCACUCCAACUUCACCCACUGCUAACAGGAUAAUUCCUAUCAUAUUGAGUAGCUCAAAGUUGGUUUAUGAAAUAUCUCUGGACGCUGUAUAGAACAAUAGCCCCAAUGCCUGCAACAAAAAUUGUUGGAACUAAUUGCUUUUCUUAAUCAUUAUUAUAAUCAGGAGUGCAGCCAAAAUGAAUACAUGCCACAUCAAUUAUAGCUUAACUAUUGGGAUCUUUAACAUUAUUUUCAUAGGGGUAAGGCUCCUAAUAUCCUCUUAUUAUGUAUAUUUUUCUCUACAUUCUGUGAAAUUUAACAUAUGCUGCAAAAUAAUAAUUUCUAAAUUUAUCCUAAAGUACUACAAAAUCCAGGUCCACCCCUGGAUAUAUAUUUCUUGCAGAUCAUAGACAGAUGUUUUAAUUUUGUCUCUGUUUGGAAGCUUAGCAAAUUUAAAACAUAUUUACUCACAAGGAUGUAGGAGACAGUUGAAAAUAUGAGGAUUCUGAGAGGACGGAUGGCAUAACACGACAUCCAGGCGGCAACAACCGCAAGAGUUGGUAAUAUUCCAUCCUGAAUACUCGUAAAUAUUGCAGCUUUCUGAAGUGUGAAUAGUUCUGAAUAUUCGGAGUCGGAGAAGUAAGUUAUCAAGACGCCCACUACAGCCAAGUCUACCAGUUUGCGCUUAUCAACAAACCUGGACUCAGAAUAUAAUCAUUAGAAGAAAUGUUCGUGCUCACUGAAAAAAGCAUACACAUGAAAACUACAAGAACAACAUAAGAACUGUUGCCAUGUUUUUAUUAUUUAGCCCAACUUAAUCAAAGAUAUUAAGUACACCAUCUUAACUAAAUAAAUACAUUAAUGCCACAUCAAGCAAAAUUACCUGACAUAAAUGCAGCAGCCUUACAAAAACAGACGUAAUAUCGUACCCAAGUUAUGAACCUCUUUUUAAGCUUCAACAACUGAGAAAAUGGAAACAUUGUAGUUUCUGAAACUGCUUACUUUUUCUGCAAAUAUUUCUACUUGUGAGUUGUGAGUCCUGAUCCCCGAGAUUCUGCAAAUUUGGCGCAUACCAAAGUCUUCGAUAAGUCUUCUAAAAAGUUAAAUUAAGACAGCGUGUACUCGUAAUGAGUGGUGCAACUUGCAUGCCGUACAUAUGACGUAUGACGUACGAGGGGAAAGAAAAUGAAAGGGACAUAAAACCAUUCACACGCUCGUUUAUUAACGGAAAUAUUUUUUUUAAAUCAAUAAAAGGUUAAUAUUGUAAUUAUAUAUUAAUAACAAAUACAUUUACCUAAAAACCCCCCACCAACAAACACUAAUGCAAAAUGUCUUCACACACACUUAACACACACGAACUAAACGCGCGCGCACUUAACACACACAAACAAAACACACACGGAUACAACUUGAUAGAAUUACAAAACACCAGCCUAAUAACAAACUACCAAGAACACCAACUACCAGAUCUAGAUCUAGAGUCAAGAUCUAUUAACAUUCAAUUCCAGAACCUAAAACAAUUAACCCCCAAAAUCCAUAAAGAGCUCUGCCCUGCCUCUUGAGAGCGUAAACGACAUCCAUCGCAGUCACGGUCUUUCCACUGAACGCGGGUUGCUGCCACUGAUCUCUCUGCCAGAAGCUGCUGGUACUGCUUGCGAUCGAAACUGCCGCUGGUGCAACCUCAAAUUGAAACCACCGCUGCAGGUGCUGCUGCUCGUUGCCACUGUAAGCUGCUGCUCGUCAAUUCGGUAAUCCUCUGUGAUGAUCAGAAGUCGUCUUUGUAUCCCGGGUUUUAUACGAUGAUGAUGGUGGUCAUAUUUGUUUUUGCUUUCGUUUUUCGUUUUUAGUUUGUAAGAUUAGUAAAAAAAAUGAUAGCAAAGAGAUGUAUUGAUGAUGAAAGUAGAUUAUUAAUUUGCGUUUAGUUUUAUCCGGUCAAAUGUUGUAAUGCCUCGGAAGGUGAUAGUUUGAUUCUCAGAUUGAAUAAAAGUAACCGUGCAGACAAACUGUCCAGCGUAGUUUGACUGAGAACUUCAAAUUAAUGGAUUACAAAAUAUCUAGAAUAUUUGCAUGUUGACAGCAAAGAAACUGUCCAAUUUUAUUUUAUUUAUUUGUAAAAUGAAAUAAAGUUUGGUUAAAUCUUUAGGUACCAAUAAUGUAUUCAUUUUGGAGAGAAAUUUUAUGGUAAGAU
rnacentral:lncRNA from 1 species